AUUUCUAUAUAGUAAAUACUUCAUAAAUGUUCUAUAGGUGGAUAAAUGAAAAGAGUACCAAAAAUAGAACCUAAGAAAUGGGAAAUGGGAAGGGACCCAGAAAGGAAAUCCAAAAGGAUUGUUUAACAGAUGGGAUGAGAUGAGUACAAGAGGAAUGGAAGCCAAAGGAGAAGAGGAGUGUUUCAAGAUGUAGAAAAUGGUCCUAAAGAUUGAAAUGCUUCAGAGAGAGAAGUUGGGAUGAGAGCUUAAAAUCAGUCAUUGGGUUUCACGAUAGGAGAGUGCUGGAAAAUGUGAUUCUCGACUAAUCACUGGAGCUGAUCACUUGAAUUUUGUAAUACUUCCUUUGAUGAGCGGGGAGUCAGUCUACAUAAAGCAAAUGCCCAAACCCAGAACUUAGCAAUGUAACUGGACGUAUAAUUCUAGCAUGAGAGACUAACAGGCAAUUAAUUGUGCUGAGUUUCAUUACAGGUUUCCUAAUUGAAAGUACUUCCUGCUGAUAGGGCAGGCUUAAUAUAUAUGGAAAAGAAUGAAAGACAUUUCCACUGUGAUUCUUUACCAAUUAAAAAUUCCAAACACAGAUGUAUUUGAGAAUUCUUUGCUUUGCUUAAAGAUUUCAAAAUUUUCAGUUAACAUCUUCUCACACUGAAAAUGUUAAUAUAAAUAAAAAGAUAAUUAUUUCAGAUAAAAGCAGAUGUCUUUGAUAUUUCUAUUUUAAUAUUUCAGUGCUUCAAAUGCUUGUAUUUUUCUAUGACAAGCAGAUAGCCAUUUAAAAACUCAGCCUAAUAAAAAUCAGUCUAUUCUUGGAAAAUUAAAAAGUCAUAAAUAUACUCUUUCUUUUUAUAAAUUAAAUAUCCUCAUUGUUUUUUUCUAGUUGGGUGGACUUUUUGGAUAAAAAAAAUCAGAUAAAUUCAAUUUUGUGUGAUAUAGUGCUGUUAUAACAUUUCAUUGUAAUGUUUUGAGAAAAAGGCACUAAAAUCCAAUAACUAAAUGCAUUUCAACAGUAUAGUUUUAUUUCUUCAAAAAAUAAUGGUAGCAAAGUAAGUGUAGUCUCUUUUCAAAAUUCAAGAUUGUUGUCCUCUAGAUAUUGUGCAUUAAAAUUUUAUUUAGAUAUUAUUGUUUUAUAAAAUCCAGAAAGAACCAACUUUUUUUUAACCCAUGACAGAAUUUGACACCUCUGAAUUACUGAGCAAUCAUUGAUCAACAUCUAGCAUGCACUCUUAAAGACCAUAAUAGCUAACGGGAAGUACUGGUAUAGGCUAUAGCGUUAGAACUUUAAAAAUGUCAGGCAACACUAAUAAUUCGUGCAUCCUAGGACCAAAAAGCCAGUAGCAUGUCAGUAAUAAUGGCAUGCUCUUUGGAAAACAGGUAAAAUUAACAUGCUAAUGUUUUAAGUUAAAGAGAAUAUCAUAUAAUUUUGGUAAAAAAAUCAUUUUUCUCUGGCAUAGGAGGUUCUGAUUUGUGUUCUGUGGACCGCUACUACUUAUUAUGCCUCCUAGACAUGUAUCCAAAUAUAGGGCUGUAUAUACUGUCAAUUAACAAAGUACCGAACAUGGCAUAAUAGCAAAAUGUGUAGGCAAUAAAAAGAAAUGCACAAAAUAAGUGUUGAUAACUGAAGACAUCAAGCAUGCUAGAGGAUACAACAGAUUUCACAUUUAGGAAACAUUUAAGAAAAGAUGUGACAGACGAUGAAGGAUACCUUCAGGGAGCCUAUUUUUGUUAAAUUAUGCUUAGACUUUUUAUUUUUAUUUUUGUUAUUGCAGGAUUGCCUAUUUUAGAAAUAAUGCUUAAAAGAAAGACUUCAGUUCAAGGCUUAAAAAGCUACGCGACUCUUCAGCAACUGUUUUUUUCUCUCUCUCUCUCUCUCUUCUCAUGGUCUUCACAUUUGAAAAAAGCUUUAAGAAAACAGCUGCAUAUGAAGAAAAAAAGAAUACUGGACACAGAGAAAAGGGAAAUUGUGUUUUAUUGAGCGAUUUCUUUAUUACCACUCUGGGAACCAAAAAGUGACUAUGGCUAUCAAAUAAGCCUAGCUCAAAAAAAAAAUCUUUAGAUCAAUUUUUGAUGAGAAAGAAAGAAAAAAAGAUGUUCAACCAGGUCUUGUUUUAUGCACACAAUUUACAUCUUUUCCUAACUCAUCAAUAUACUUGUGGUUCUUAAAUUUAGUAUUUGAAUUAAAUGCCCAAGAGCCUUGAAUGACAUUCACCCACCCAUUAAAAGAUAUAUAGGUCAAUUAUAUGGCAUUGAUAAAAAUCCUUGAUAUGAUUUGUGUCCCUUUAACUAAUGAUAUCUCCUCUAACGUGACAAAAUCAUAACAAAACAUAAGAAAAGAGCACCUCAUUACAAAGGAACCCACCAUACAUUAUUUAAAUCUUUCCCUCUGAGAUAGCAAGAGCUAGAAUGCAUACUGAGUAACUGCUACUCAACAGGAAAUGAUUCUUUUUCAUGCAAUUCAGACAUCUGAUUUCUGACUGGUCAUUAUGAGAAAAACAAAUACCAUCUACAAAUAAUAAUUAGAAUGUAAUACUAUUUAAGCUUCUGCAAAGAACAUAAAAUAUGUAUAUGGAAGCUCUGAAGCUAAUAAAAAUAUAAUGCAGAUUACUUCAAAGCAUUUUACGUUUAUAUUGCUCAGCCACUAAAAAAAUGAAACAAUAUUAAAUCCAUUUUCUUAAGUCCUAUUUAAAAAAAAUCUCUCAGUUGCAUCAAGAAUGGUUCAGCUCACUUGAAGUUACAGCCUGGUUUAGGAAAAUUGCAUUUUACUGCUCUUCUAUUGAUUUUUAGCAAAUUUAAAACUGUCACUAUCUGCUGAUUCUGCUUAUCUUUGAAUUUAAAAUGUCCACAGUAUUUACAUAGCAUUGAAAAAUUACUGUUUCAAUGUAUUGUAUUUUUAAUGCAGCUCUCUUUUUGUGGUUUGUAUAGCUAGCUUGCUACCAAGAGGACACUUUGAUGUCAUCCUCCUUUGUAGCAUACAAUGAAAUCACAUUUUUCUUCAACCGGCAAUGGCAUACUGACUGAAAAGUAAAACCAUUUCUCAUUUCCCUCCUCUUCUUAAGAAAAUGAUCAGUAUCUCAAUUGUUUUGCAUUUUUAGUUUUUAAUAAAGCCUAUAUGUAAUAUUAGUGGGUAGUUCAUUACUUUAAAAAUUAUUUUCAAACAGAACAUCAUCUUCAAAUUAGCCCAAGCAGAGAUACCAAUUUCUAGUUUCUUAGCUGACAGUUCUACCCCAAGAUAAAUAUAUUAUUCAGUUUCUGUUACCCAUAAAAUCAUAUAUACAUAAUACACAUAAAACUCAAAUUAUAAGCGUUUGUUAAUUGUCAGUCCCUUCAAUUACUCUUUACAUCUCUAUGAUUUUCAAAAGAUGGUCUUGGGGAAUCUUUAAAUAUCUUCGUAAACAAUUAAUGUGCAUCAAUCAAUAUAAAAACAAGUUUUUUCCUAGCUCCAGUUGAAUAUGCUUCUUUUCCUAAGAUAGACAUUACCAAACAAAGGCUAUAGAUUCAGUUGCUAAGCAUCCAUUAAAACUAUAACAGCCACGUGUGAUGUAAGUCACAUCACUCUGGCAAAAAUGAAAUUUGUAUUCUUUAUGCAAAUUCAUCGUGAUUGCAGCUUUUAGUAGUGUAACUGUAGAGGCCUGUAAAUAAUUUUAUUAUAAUCAGGAAAAUAUAUAUUAUAGGAUUAUUAUUUAGGCACAUAUAAGAAUUUCCAUUUCCCCUGAAACUUGAAUUUUACAAACCCCAUAGCAGUUUGCCUACUAACUGAAUUUGUUUAACUGUGGAAGAUUUCAAAUUAUGCUAAACAAAAUAAAUAUAUUUUUUGUUUGCUUUGUAUUAUUUUAAACAUUAAAUAUUCCAGGUCACACUGCAGAUUUGAAUUUUUGACUUAGCUAUCAAUUAAGAGAUAAACAGAGAUGACAGGAAAGGAAACUGGAGUCCAUUAAAUGCCUUUCAUUUACUCAUUCAUUGAACAUUCUUUUCAACUUGUUCCUAUUAUGCACAGAACACUGUACUACCAUGUGUCUGGUGUUGAGCAAACUUCAUACAUAUUAAAUCAAUACAAUUAAUUCAUAAACAUUUUCCAAGCUUAUAUUUAGUCAAUUAAAAAGCACAGAAAUAAAGAUCUUAGAUGUGGUGUUUACCAUGGACAAAAUCACCUCAUAGAAGCAUUUAUCUUCCAUGAACCUUAGUUAUUUGGAUGAAAUUGAGCAGUUAGGCCUGCUUCCAAGUUAUGCUUAUCCUAAGACCAUUCUUCCAUUUUUGUAAUUAGCAGCUUGGUGGGAAUAGAACAACACAUAGUAAUUGCUAGGAUAAAAGCAAAGAUCCUUUAACAGCUCCAAGACUUUGCUUGAAAGACUCUAAGUGAAACUAAUAAACUCCUAUUUAGUUUCCAAACACGAUAGAUUCAAGUCCUCCAAAGUCAAUAUUGUUUGUAAGAAGGCACGUAAAAUGUAUAUUGAAAAAAAUAUUCACAGAAAAAAAUUUAUACUAUAUUUGAUGAAUUAUAAAGGUCUAAUUCUGCAUGAUUUUAUAAUUAUGUCUUAAUUACAAUUUUGAUAACUUCUUUGAGAUUUUUUUAAACUCAACUUACCCAUAUCAUCUUAUAUUUGACAAAAAUAAAGUUUUGGAAAUUGUAUUACACAUUAAUCUAAGUGCCUCAAUUAUUGAUAAUACUUAUAUGAAUCAAGUUAUCAAAAUUUGUAAUUGAGGAGUAGGAGACGGAAUGUUCUAGUAUAUACUGACAGUGUGAUAGUGUUUUUUUUGUGCAUUUCAGACAGUGAUAUAUUUGUUAAUGAAAGAUACUUCUUUUUCCACUACUAAGGGCUGAGUAUAUUUUUUAAUAAGAUUACUGUAAUUAUAAAUACAAUGUAAUCUAAUUUUAUGUAAUUUUGAAAAAUUUUCAAAGUGUAAAGAAAUUUAUAAGAACAGACUGGCCAUAGUCUCUCCUCAAAAGCUGUUAUGGGUUUUGAAUAUAGUUAGAUAGAAAAGUAGAAAUAGCUACAAAUACAGAUAUGCACAUAUACAGAGAUACAAUUCUUCAUAAAUUUAUGUGAUUCUUUUUUAAAGAUUAUUUUUCUAUGGUCAGUUUUCAUUUAUUUAAAAGCAUUACCCAGGUUAUGAACAAUCUUGCAAAUUUUGAUUAUUUGUAAUAUCUUUUUGUCAUAUAGGUAUAAUUUAUUUACUCAGUUCCAUUUUGUUGAAUAUUUAAGUUAUUCCCAUAUUUCAAUAUUGCAAAUGUCACUGUCAUAAACAUCUUUCAAUAUACAUUUAGUCAGUAUUCAAGUUUUUCCUUAUGAUAUAUUCCCAGAAAUAAAAUGUAUUGUCUCAGAUGAUACAAACAUUUUAAGCUUUUCAGUGCAUCUUGCCAAGAUGAUUUUUAGAGAGUUUAUCAAUUAAUUGCCAUUCUCCAUAUUUUAAAGUGUUGAAUCCAUCGUAUUUACAUCAAUUAUAUUCCAAUUUUGGUAAAAUAUUGCUAACUUUAUACCUGGGAAAUGGCAUUACAUGUUGUUUAAAUGUGUAAUGCCCAUCAGCUAAGGAGGAAAUCAGAGCUGCAUUAAAGAUAGGGACUCACGGCAGAUGGUGGGGUCUUGCAGGUGACCUGACCUAGCUAUAAUUUCUCACUAAUAAAUGCAUAACUAAACUUCCAGAGGGAGCUCAGGCCAGGCAACUCUGGGAAUUUUACAGAGCACAAUCUUUGGACUUUAAAUCACAUGAACUCAGUUGGGAUAGAAAAAAAAGCUUCCCACAUACAUAGUCCAGGACAGCAUUCCUUUCUGUCCAUGCCCUUAAAAUAUAGACUUUAUAUUAAAAUAUACUCAUAUAUUUAUAGAUGAAGACUAUUCCGUGGUAGACUAGAGACAUAAAGUAAUCUAUUCCUUCUGUAGAAAUAAUUUUUAGAUGUAAUAGUGAUAUUAUCUUUGCAAGAUGACAUUCAAACAAACUAGUAGUUUUCUGAGCAACUGCUGAAUUAUUUGAAAGAAAUUUCGGGCAACAGUCUAAAAGAAAAAGCCUUAUCUUGAUAUGACUUUGCUUUGUCACUUUCUGUGUAGAAACUAGUAAAAGCUUAUAACAAUAUUACUAACCGUUAGAUCAGAAAAUUAUUUUCACUUUCUACUUUUUAAUGAACAAUAGUUUGCUUCUUAUUCCAUAUGUUGAGAUGUUAGCAUAAGUGAAUUAAAUAGAUAAAUGGAGCUACAUUCCUGAAAUUAAAUUUUGUGAUUUAAACUAAUAUCACCUUAAUGAAAGAUCAUUUACACUAAUUCCAUACGAUGCCAAAAUAAAUUAAUUCAAAUUGGUUAUCAAGUUAUAGAGAAAACCUUGGACCUACAAAGUUCAUGGGAAAUGUAGUCUUGUAAUUAGCUGAUAUUUGAAAUCAAGAAUCUAGAAAAAAUUAGCAAGGUCUAAUUGAAAAAAAAUUUAGACUGACAUUCAGAAAAUGUAUGUAAUUAGUACUUGGUAAAAGACUUGCAAAAGAAAUCAUAAAUCAUAAACAAUGUAAUUUGUUUCAACUUGAAAUUAUAAGAUGAAUUGGUAAUAAACAUUUGCAAAUGUUCUGAAAACAACUAUUUUAUAAAUUUAUUCAUAGGUAAAAAGUUUUGUGCAUGUGUGGCAUCUGGAUUUAUUCUCUAGACAGACUUUCGGGGGUCACACAUAAACAGAAAGGCUUUUCUCCUAAAUCUUCUACUGCUCAGGAUUUAUUUGAUGAUUAAUUUGGAAAAAUCUGUGGGGCCUGGUUGCUUAUGCGUGUAUUCCCAGCUCUCUGGGAAGCUGAGGUGGGCGGAUUGCUCGAGGCCAGGAGUUCAAGGCUGCAGCGAGCUAUGAUCAUACCUUCGCACUCCAGUUUAGGUGGCAGAGCCAGACCCUGUCUCUAAAAUUAAACAACGACAACAGAAAAACAAAAACAAAUCUAAGAAGAAAAAUAAUUUCCAGUUAAUAAGUGAGAUAGCACCAAUGUGUAUUAUUUAUUUUCCCAAAAACCAUGUAAUAAUAAUAAUGUAUAGUUCUUAUGUGUUUAAUAAUUUCUAGACAUUUUUACUAUGUUUAAAUCAAUGUUUGCAAUAAAAAUCUCAUAAAUAGUGAAUACACUGAUAUAUUUAAAAUGUUCACUGUACAAUUAUUGAGGAUCAUUAGAAAUGUCAUGUGAAAGACAGUACAUAGUUGCAGCCAAAAGUUUUUCUAAAACUUCCUAGAACUUUUAAGAGAAUGAUAAACUUCAAAUGUACUUCAAUAAGUUCCUCAGAAAAGAUUUGAUGUUGAAUAGUCUUCUCUAACUCAUUUCAAGUACAAGAGCUACCAUUAAGAAGUCUGAGACAAAUAGUUACAGACUGGGUAUUUUUCUAUAAUUGUGAUUCAAUUUCACACUGCUUUUAAGGUCACAAAAACUCAAAGAGUAUUCCUGAUACAUGAUCUCAAUCUCCAACAGAUGAGACUGGCCCUCAUGAGUUCAUGUUUCAAUGAGACUAUCUUCAAAAUUGAAGUGAUUAUGAAAGUAUGAACAGGAUAAUGUGUCAGACAAUAUACUAAGGAUUAUUAAUAAAGCAAAAUGAACAUAGUAAUCAAUUGCUUAAGUGUCACAGAUUACUGACAUCACAGUGAUGACAUAAAACUUUUAGACUUCACUUUUGUUUUUAAAAGAUUUUGAAAGAAAUACAUUUGAUCUAAUCUAUCAUGGAGAGACAGACUCAUGAACUUCCUCCUCUGGAAAACAAGGCAGGCUUUUUUUGUUUGUUCGUUUUUAAUUUUCAAAUAUUGGACACUAUUUCCAAAGUUUAAGGGCGAUAGAACAAGUGGAAUAGCUUUUAUUUUAUAGUCAUGUCAACACUACCCAAUCGUGGUUGCAGAGCUGGUUAUUCUUUAACUUCUCUUACACUCUUGGGGCCCUCUGCCCUCCAAGACAUAAAAAGAGAAAAUGAAGCUGCAUUGUAGUAGAAGAGAUUAAAGCUACAUAUAACAAUUUCUAGACAGGAAGAAUUGUUAAAUUUUGAGCACACUAAGGGAGGCUAAUAAAUCAAUCUCUUCCUCUCCUUCUUGCCUUUCUAAUUCCUUUAAAGACAUUCCUUUCUACAGUUAAAUUGUUUGACAUGCUGCAUUCGGUUUUACUGAUUAUCAUUAUUAUGCCCAAGUUAGAGGAGAAACAUUAAACAUUAUAUUUUAAACUCUAAAAGAAAGACAAAAUAUGUCAGUUACAUAGGUAUAUGAUCUUAUUCCUUUCCCUCGAACCAUGAAUAAUUACCUUACAUAGGUAAAAUUGCUUAGGAAUUUAAUUUGCUACUUGAAACCCUACAUUUUUAAUCAACAAUUUGAGGUAAAAGGAAAAGCCCAAUUCAGUAUAAAUAGGUUCACAUUUGCUAAUUGCCUUUACUUGAGACUUCAAGCUCAAAUACUUGCCUGACAUCAACAGAGACUUUGAAAACAAUCUAUUUCAGGAGAAAGCUAAGAUACAAAAUAUGGAAAUGCUUUCUGCUAAACUUUAGGCUCAAGGAAACUUAAAAAAUAAAAAGAAUGUAUUGCAUUGUGUGUGUGUGCAUAUGUGUGCAAAUCUGUCAAUUUAUUUGUCCAUUUUCCUGUCAAUGAGCAUUGGAGUUGGCAUUACUUUGCUAUUACAAAUAGUACUGCCAAUAAUAUUAUUGUACAUGUCUCCUGAUGCAUGUCUUCUUAUACAUAUACAUGCAUGCACAUACACACAUAUAUGCACAUAUUUUGAGGAGGAGUUCUGGAUUGUAGAAUGUGUGAAAAUUCAGCUUUACAAGAUAAAUACUAAAUUAUUUUUGAAAAUGAUUGUGUCAAUUUACACUACCACCACCAAUGUGUAGUAGAAUGAUUUAUCCACCUUGUCUCUAACACUUGCUUUUUUUAGCCUUCUUUUGGGGAUGGGAAGAAGGGUAUUAUUAUCUCUUUAUUACUAAUAUGCAUUCUCUGAAAUCAAACACAGAGCUUUCCAAUUGGCAUGCUAAUAUACCCCAAUUUUUCUAAACAGGCGGCAGGUUUGCCAACAGUCAGUAGUGAUUCCUGCAACCCUCAGAGCUGAGGCAUGCAGCCUGGCCUUUUGCCUCCAAUGUCUGCUGAGCAAAGCCUUCGUUCUUACCCCAGUUUGUACAUAAAUACUGUUUUCAAUGAACGCCAUAAAAUGAAAAUAUUUAAGAAAUCCAACUGUACAAUAUACAUAGUGGAUGGCAGUGGUGAUAGUAGUGCUGGGAAUUACAGUGAUAAAUAUAUAAAUGUGGGGCUCAUAAAACUCCUGGAAGCAAAAGAGGUAACUUCUCUUUUUAAUCUACCAGUUUAAAAAAUACAUCUGUGUUUGAUGAAGUCAUCUUCCAAAGAUCCCAGGGAAAUGUGACCAAUAAAAGAAAUUGUUAAAUGCUCAAGUGUCUUAAAUUUAUAGCAUGGUGAUUAGUGAAAAUAUUCCUCACUCCGACAGAUAGAAAGGAUAUUUAUUUUGAUAGCCCGGCUUUCUAUUUGUAAAGUUAACUGCACCACCCCAUGGACACUUAUACCAGUGCUAAUAAAGACCAUUUUUCUCUGUUUUAUUUUGCAACUGCAGGUAUGGGUGAAAUUCUGGAUCCGAAAUUAAGAAAGAGAGUUUUUUCUGUUGCUUUUCUUUGGUGCUAUUGUGUAUGCAAGAGUUCAUGUUUCCUAAUUCAUAUUUAGUGACCCAUGUCACUUCUUGUAGUCCUUUGAAAUAAGCUCACAGAAAUUACCAUGACAUUCUUGGCUUGCACACUUAUAACACCUUUUUUACUGAAAAGAAAAAACAAAACAAAACCCUAACACACAUGCUUAUCUUUUUUUCAGUUUUUGCAUGUGCAAUGUUCUAUUUUUAAAUGUAACUUAUUUCAAUAUGGUCUUGUACUGUCCUUGAAUUUAAUUUAGUAGACUUUGAAUGAAUUUUCUUAUAAAAAGCAAUUUUAUUGUAUGUAUGUACAUAAUCUGUUCCUUAAAAUGGGAAGUUUUAUAUAGAAAUGAAAUAUCAAGAAAUCUAAUUCUUGAUUUGAUGAAGGAUUUUUUUUAAAAAGUAGUAGUAGAAAAUGUUUCCUUUCUCAGGGUCAUCAUUUUCACUUACGAUAUUUCGUAGAAAUAUUAGGUGCUCUGAAAAGUUGACAAAAUUUUAAAAAACUUCUCUAUUACCCUAAGUGCAUAUUUGUAAAUUAUCUUAGUUACCUCAGAACUCUCUCUCUUAGUGUGCUAUAUGAUGCAGAUAAAUUACACAGUAACUUUAAUGUGUUCGGAUUACAUACCAGGCACCAUAAUAUGAAACACUGUCUUAUAUCUCAUUUAAUUUCACAACUUGUGAAGUAGGGUCUAUUAUCCCAAUUUUACAGCUGAUAAAAUUGAGUCUCAGGUAGGUUAUGUAAUUUGUUCAUGGUUCAACAGUAAGUGGAGCUAAAAUUUAGUCUGAUUUCCAAAGCCCACAAUUAUCCCCACUUGACCAUCUUGCCUCCAGAGCUUGAAAUAUAUAUGAGUUUCUCAAAAUCAGUAUAAAAUGCCCAAUUCAAAAGAUAAAAAUAAGAAAUAAAAUGUAAUUGUACUUAAAAUUAUAGGGGCAUUUAGGUCAAAGACUCAAGGCUAGAUCUAGAAAGAACCUUGAAAAAGGACAUACAUGGAUUUCACAAGGUGAGAAGUAAUUGUCUGAUUAUCUGAACCUACCUGUUAUACCUUCAGAGGACAUAGGAUACUUUUGGAGUUUCCAGUCAGACUGAAGAACUCAGAUAUAUUUUUCUUUCUUUUGAGACAGGGUCUUGCUCUGUUUCCCAGACUGAAGUGCAGUGGUAGAAUCAUAGCUCACUGUAACCUCAAACUCCUGGGCUCAACUCCUGCCUCAGCCUCCUGAGUGGCUGGGACUACAGACACAUGCCAGCACGUAUCCAGCUAAUAUUUUUAUUUUUCAUAGAGACAGGUCUUGCUAUGUUGCCCAGACUGACACUUAUUUUUUAACAAGGAUAAUGAUGGGUCUUUGAAGAUGAUCAUUUUCAGUUUGCGAAAGAAUCAAGGGGCUACGAAAAUCACUCUUAACCAUGGGAGAGUCCUAGAGACAAGUAUGAUGACCCUAGACAAACCAAUUGAACAAAAGCAGAGAUUAUGUGUGUUUUGCCAUUGCUAUAUCCCCAACACCUAGAACUGUACCUGACAUAUAACAGAUGUUCAAUAAAUAGUUGUUAAAUGAAUAAAUAAACUCAGGAAUUAGAGAGAUUUUUGUUAGAAUCCUUGAAAAUUGGUCAUAACUCUCUAGAUCUGAUGACACUUGGAUUCGGUCAUUUACCCCAAAUCCCUCCUAUCUGCAAUUAGCUAAAUCGGAAAUCACUCACCUGCUUCUACACAUUUAUAAACUAUGACCUCUACUAGAAUCAUAGCACCGAAAACUUCAUGGAAGGAAAUUUAGGGUCACAUAGUCCGGCCUCCCACGUUGAGUAGCCUCCAAAUAUUAACUGCUACUCUAAGAGCUCUUUCCCAAACUUCCCUGAGGCAAUUACAGCAAUUAUUUUAGAAUAUAAAGAUUCUCAAAUCUUCCUUUGCAGAUUCUGACUCCCAAAAUCUUUUAUUUUAAAAACACACUUCAGGUAAUUUUUAUGCACAGGCAUCUAUGAGAAAUGCUGUUCUACAAUACCCAUCCCAUUUUCAGAUAGCUCCAGUAGAAAUUUAUAUGAACUAAUUCUCCUGCACAUACUUUGGUACAGGUGGGCUGCUACAGCCAUCUUCCUUCAUUCAAUCAAACAGCAUUUAUUCAACUUAUUUAACAAACAUGAUACAAGAUACAUGGGGGAUAGAAAUGAAAAGAUGAGACUGUCACACAUAUGGUACUAUGUCUAUGCAAAAUAACAUUGGAAUGUAGAUUCACGGUGGAAUGCAGGGCAGGCAUGGAAGAAUUCUUAGCAUGAGUGUGACAUAAGCAGAUGUGAGUGUGGAAAGAUCACUCUGGGAUUGAUGUCAGGCAUGAAGAGGUGACACUUGACUUAUGUCAAGUUGCUAAAAAGAAGGCUAUUCCUGUUAUCAAACCAAGAAAGAAUGAAAACAUGCACCAGGACAAAGGCAAGUGAGAUAGGAGAACUGCUCAAGAUUGUUUUCAUCCAGUUUCAACAAAUGAGGAUAUUAAACUAAGAUAAUCAGAUUGAAAGACAUAUUUACUAAAAAAAAAAGUAGAUGACAGCAAGUAUCAAACAUUAGUCAGUCAUCCUAUUCACACCUUCAAAAAUAUUAACCAAGCACAUGUAUUUGUUUGGUGCUGAGUUAGAGAUACAAAGAUGCACACAAUGAAUAAGACACAAAUCCUGCUUUUAGGGGUCCACUUUUAGCAAGAGAUUUAUAAUUACACAGGGACAAUUAUAAUAUAGUAUUUAAAAGAAAGGCUAUAAUAUUCCUAUUAAAAUGCACCAUCAAAUUAGAGAAGGCGUGCACUUGAUGUUUUAGAGAAUAUUUAUGUGGGAACAUAAUGAAUAAAUAAUCCUUUUAGAAAUAACAGUAAUUUCUUGAAGUCUCAUGUAAAUUAUGGAAUGUUUUCAUAUACUUAUUUAUAGUUUCUUCUCUUUGAAAAGAAGUUACGGGUGGCAGGGAGAUAAUAUUGGUCACAAAAGACAGGGCAAGACAUGCAACUUAACAGUAAAAUUAAAAUUAAAUCCAUAAAAAGCAUAGAAGACCUCCCAGAAUAUUAUUUACAAAAUCAUCAUGUUGUGAAUCAAACUUCUAUUUAAAUUGCUUUUCCAUAUUACCCUAGUGAGGCUUCCUACUUAAUGAGAUGUCUGGCAGGGAAGAUUGGAGGAACAUUUAUUCAAAAUGCCAGAACUGCUUUCCCCUUUGCUAAAACACUAGCAAGAAUCUUUUGAAAGUGGCAACACAUUUUUCAGACAUGAUUGUCAAAUUUCCCCUAAAGGAACAAGGUGAGUAGAUAGUAAGAGAACCAUGAAUCAGAUUGUCAAUGCCAGGCUUAUGCUACUAAGUUUCCAGGAACAUGUUUCUAAUUUGGUAGUCACUUUUCCACUUUAGGAUUGAACUCUAUUUUUCAAAUUAAUUUUUUACAAAUGUUAAUCCUAUGUGAUCCUUUCAUUCAUCAAAGUGUAUCAUUCGUUCUACCUCUUAAUUUUAUGUAUAUAAGGAAUUAAAGUAAUUUGAAAAUUAACCAACUUAACACAAAACUCAAUAAAACAAAAUUCCUUGGCAACAAUCAGAAUGCCUUCCAAAUAGAAACAGAAAUAAUCUAUAUUGUCUGCCAGACUGUAUUAUCCAUUGGGCUAGAUGGUCUUUCAGUGACUCUACACACCUCUAUAAUAGAUCUGACCACAUUGCAUUGCUGUUAUUCUUUUCCAUAUCUACAUAGCACCUUUCUUGUUAGAAUAGGUGUUUGGAGGGGAUGUACUAUGACUUAUUCACCUUUGGAUCUAAAGAAAUUCCUGGCACAAAGUAGGCUUUCAAUAAUUGUAUGAUAGAUGACUGAUCAACUGCCUAAAUGAGUUAACAAAUUAUCUCUGUCUUACUGUUUUAUAUUGGGCCUGUACUCUUUUGUUUAGAUAAGUUAUUCAAUUUUUGGACUGGCAUAAGAUUUGAUUUGAAAUUCUGAUUUGAAGUUACAUGUUAACUAAAAGCCAUUGAUGUAAAAAUAAAUACUGUAUUAGAUAUUUUUCAUUCUAAAUAAAUGAGCAAAUUUAUUAAUACAUUCUUAAAUUAAUGAGUCUGCUAAUAGAUAAUAUUUUCGGAGCACUUGCACACUCCCAGAAUAUUUUUUUUUAAACAGAGGAAAUGGCCAAAUAUAAGCUUGAAAACCUGUCAGGAAAAAAAAGAGUAACCUAGAGGAAAAAUAUUUGAAGGUAAAAAGAGAAAAAUUCAAUCACUGAGGGUUCCAUAAAUGAUAGAAUUAUCCAGUAACCUUUUUCUAGUAUUUAUCCAUGUGUUCAACUGUAUUGUCUUCCAAUGUUCUUUGAAGGAUAAUUAGGUAAAUACUUAGCGUUCUCAAAAUAAUGAUAAAAACGUAUUCUGCCCCUCAGAAAAAAAUUAACAAUUUAACAAGAGAAAAAAUAUUAAAGAAAAGAAUAGUCAUGCCAGAUCUUAGGGGAGAAUGAACAUAAAAUAAACAAGUAACUUAAUUAACCAAGAUGUCAGAAGAUAAAUCAGUGAAAAACAUAAUUGUACUUUAAUCUAUAAAUAAGACAAUGGCCAGAGAUAAUUUGUACUGUCUCCUCAUGAUCUCUGUUAUCAUUUACACUGAAAAUAGUGCCAUACGAAAUAUUGUUAUUUGAAUAUGAAGAUGGUGCUAUGACUCAUCAGUAACAAAUCUACAGAAUUGCUUUGUUUUAGGAGUAGGAAAGGGUCGGCAAUAAAUUCAUUCAUACUCUUUCAGCUGGUCCUCUUGUGAGCAAUGGUGUACAUUGGCAAGUUGAAGUUACAGCUGCAGUCAGUCAGUGAGCCUAAAACAAAACAAAACAAAAACCCAGUGAGUGAAAAAUCAAUUAGAUUAUAAUUGGUGAAUGGGGGAGACUGAAUUUCAGACCUGAUAUAUUAAUACCAAUCUCUGACCAACUAAACUAAGCUAUGCAUGUGAUAUCGAACAAUGAAUCUAUAUUUAAUCCAGUUUUUAAAAUAAGAUGCGUUUAUAUUUUAAUGAAUUUGAGAAAACGUCCCCAAUUCCUGCUUACUGUACCGACUUCGGCAUGUGCAUUACAAAUAGAAUGUGAGACAUCACUCAAGACUAUAACUAUGAGAAAAUAUAUAAAAAUGCAUGGUAAGUCUCAACUUUUAUUCAUGGAAAAACACAAUCCAUGUAAUAUUUUGAGUGGUCUGUUCACAUGCGAAUCACUGGCAGGUGAGUUUGAUGUCCCCACAAAAUAAGUUGAAUAGGCAUCAUUAAUGACUUUUGACUCAAUGCCUCGGGUGGAAUGUCAUGAGAAGAUGUUUGUAAUGUUUAAUGCCUUUAAAGAAUAAAAGCAUGAUCUUGUGUACGGUUUGCAGCCAAACAUGACGAGGAACUAUCAUUGAUGUUGAAGUUUUGCUGUAUCAGGUACUAUACCAGCUCCUCAUGUUGGACUCAAUCCUAACAGUAGAGCUAUGUGGUUGUAUUAUCUUUAUUUUCUAGAUAACAAAUUAAAUUUUGGAGUAAAAUUAGUCCAGGGGUCAAAGAUAGCAGGGAUAGAAUUUAGUUACAAAGACUCACUCUGAAGUCCAUGAUCUUAUUUAUUUAAAAUGAAGAUAACAAAAAUAUAACCAAACAACUUGGCUAGAAUUUAUGUAAUUUGUAUUAUUUAUAUUAAUCAAUGGGUAUAGAUACUUGACCUAAAAAACUCCAGGGGCAGAACAUGGACUUUUAUAUGACCAUGAUUUUUGACCAUGAGCUUUAAAUACAUUCAGAACGUAUUGUCAGAAAUACUCUAUUUUCUCAGUUAUUUUGGCUUUAUCUUAAAGACUUUACUAAACUGUCAGAAUUCAUGGGUAGGUACAGCUUUCCAAUCAUGCUAAUGUUUUCAGAGAUAGUUAUAACCCAGAAAGUAAACAUCUGUUGGGUUAAAAAUAAAAGUACUUCUUUCAUUAAUGUAUCUAAGAUUUUUUAAAUGCUAUUCUCAGCAUGGCUUAUCAUUAUCCCCACAUUAAAGAUAGUCCAAUAUCUAUUAGGUUAAACUAUAUGCUCCAAGACCAAUCAAAGCACUUCUAACCUACCGUUCUUUCUGGGGAUUCUCUGGACAAAUUGGGAACGUUAUUUUUAAAAGUGAGUGGCAACUAAGAAAGAGUAUAGCUACAUAUAUACAUACAUACUUUCAAUCAUUGAUGUGCAUGUAUGUAAAUGAAUCACAGUGAAAUAAUCAUCUCAAAAGAUAACUGAAAGCUUGCCUUAAAGUCUCUUCUUCCACAUUCCCAUGGCCUACUAAAAGUUCUAUUUUAUUUACCAUGUUGUAUUAUCAAUGCUUCCCGCCCCACCAGAGUAUGAGCUUUAUAUGGGCAGAGACUAUAUUUCUUUCUCAAUGACAUCAGUGCAUAACACAGUUCUGGCACUCACUGAUUAUUUAUUGAAUAAAUAAAUGAAUUGUGUAAAGUAAAAUAUCAAACUACAUAGUAGCAUCAUAGGUUAUAAUCCAUGUUUGUAUCCAUGAGUGGAUCUGAUUUUUCCCUGCAUACUCUUGAAUGCUUGAAAAUACAUCUUUGGUUCAUCCAGGCGCAAAUUUUAUAGAAGAGAGUUCUAUUUAAUCAUGUAUAGAUGAAAUAGAAUUAUUACUCAAAAGCAACAGGAGCCACCUAUAGUGCCCAUGACAGAAGCUGAAAGGAGUUGACUUUCCUUGAAUUCUAAGCAAUUGUUGCAUGCUGGUCCCCGGACAAUAAUAUAAAACUGGUAAAGUUUGUAUUUGAGAUGACCUUCCACCUUCGUUUUUUGAACUUAUUUGACCUUUUGCCUCUGUUCCCAGGCAUCCAAAGCCUCUGGGAUGUGUUCUGACUGUAAAAACUCUGAUGUUGUGAAAAAAGCUUAUGCUUUGCCUCCACUCAAACUAGGUAACUGGCUUGGAUGUGAGUUAAUUUCUCUACACUUAGUCCUCUCAGUGUAAGUUUAGAAUAAUAGUGAUCUUCCUCUGAAAGGAAUGGUGUAGGCCUAUAUGAAAGGAUACAAGUGAGAAUGCUCAAUAAACUGUACUACCUUAAACAGAUAUUUGAUGUUACUCAAAAGAGCCUUAAAAUGAGGAAACUUCUAAGGCCCUCUCUGCCCUGAAGUAUUUAUGACCCAAAUAACUCCGUUUUCUCCCUCCUCUAAACUCCCAUCUCUUGUUGCAAUUGUUGAGACAGAAAAUCCAAUUGUUGCCUAAAUUUAUUCAUCCUAAGAAGAAGUGCCUGAUAAGUUCAAGCGCAGUGGCUCACGCCUGUAAUCCCAGCAGAAGUGGGCAGAUGGCCUGAGCUCAGUUUGAGUCCAGCCUGUGUAACGGGGUGAAACCCUGUCUCUCCAAAAAGUACAAAAAUUCGCUGGGCGUGGUGGUGCAUGCCAGCUACUUGGGAUGCUGAGGUGGGAGGAUUGCUUGAGUCUGGGAGGCAGAGGUUGCAGUAGGACAAGAUUACACUACUGCACUCCAGCCCAGGUGACAGACAGAAAUCCAUCUCAGAAAAAAAAAGAAAGAAAAAUAAAAUGCCGGAUAAACAUAAAACCACCUUAGUGUGUUAAUAGUUUCAAAGAGAGAAUUGUGAAUCUGAUUAUUCUGCAGUCUGUUGGAGAGAAGUCUUUCUUUUGUCUAAUCUGUUCAUCUCUACCCUAAGAAACACAAGUCAGAAAGGUGGCAUCCCAGAAACAAGAGUCUAUUCAUCUCAAUGUUAAGGCUCUGAUACAUAAAGGAUGGUAAUUUAAUUUCCUGAAAUUUGUUAGUCUCAAAGUUUAAUUAAGAGAAACCAAGACAUUGAAAUAGUUUUGUAUCAAAAAUGUAGAACAGUGGGACUUAACUACUAAAUGACUUAUGUUUCCAUACUGAUUGUUAAGAUGAUAUUUAUGAAAGAAGCCAAGCAUAACCACUUUAACAAUUCUAGAAAGGCAUACUCUAAGAGGUAAAAUUAAAAUUAGGGAAAAUGAGACCAUUUAUAAUGGGCCAUUAUGACUCUGAAUGAUGAUUAUUGGUUCUGCUUAAUAAAACUGUCAUCUAACACAAAAUAGAUAUUAAGCUAAAUUACAUUACAUUAUCAUUUUAUCAUGCCACAGAAUUAAAUGCAAAUCUCAAAAAAAUAGAUCCACAAGGAAACAGACCCAAUAUUAACCUUUUCUACCUAUUCCCAAUUAGCUUUAAUUUAAAAAGAACCCACGUGAAGAAGUUAAAAAAAUUAUGUGCUGCAAAAUGAGUAUACUUUACUAGAGCUAAUGACUAAAUAUUUAUUAUUUGUGCAUUUUUAAAACAAGGUAGCCUUGUUUUAGAACAGGAGGAUUCCAAGACAGGAUCAGAACUUCUCAAACUUUUCUCCUAUUUAACUUUGCUCCCUCAUUCCAAAGCUUUUCCUCCUUGUCAGUCUCUUCCUGUCCCAUCUGCUGACCAAGUCAUGAAGAGGAACCCUUCUAUCGUUGCCAUUUCUAAAUCUGAUUGCACUCAAUGUUUCUCUCAAGAUACUUCUUUGGCUCUCAGAAUCAAAAUUAUAGUUUAUGUGACUUCACAUGUUGUGAAAAUACAGAUGCUUAGAUCUUUCCUCAGACCUAUUAAAUCAGAAAUUCUAUAGUAGGACCUGUGGAUCUACAGUUGAUUUUUAAUAUCUCUGGUUUGAGAAUUACUGUACUUGAACUAUGGACGAUUAGUAGAGGCAAUAUAUUAACAUUAAGGUAUAUUGUUGUGAAGUUUAAAGUUUACUUGGUUUAUAUUUAAUCCAUUACUGAAAACAUUUAUUGAGAACAUACUAUUAGCCAGACUGUUUACUAGGUAGUAGGGCUACCUAGAUAAUGAAACUUCCUUUCUCUUGUAUAUCUUACAGUCUUAUCAGAGGCAUUUGCUCUUUGGAAUCAAUUAUCGCAUUAUCUCUUCAGAACACAAUAGAAUCCUGUGUUCCCUGCCCCAACUAGUUUAAGCCAAAAGGAAAUUUCAAUCAAAUAAAAUAACAAACAAUUGAAAUAAAACGAUAAUAGAGAGUAUGUAGACUAAAUGUAGAUGAAGAGAAAAAUAAGUGAAUAGGAAGACCGAUGCAUACAAAAUGCAACAGAGACAGAGAGGAAAAAAAGAGAAAUAUUAAAAGAAAUUUAAAGGCGUUAAAAAAAAUAACAAGAAGCCCUGGCAUAUGUCUAAUGAGAAUUCCAGAAACAAAUAAUAGUACUGAUAGGGAAGAGGAAAUCUUUGAAAUGAUGGCUGAAACAUUUCUUGAAAACUGAAGAAAGCAAUGAGCACUUAUAUUGAAAAUCUACAUUGACCAAAAAAAACCCCUAAAUUAUACCUAGUCCCUCACUUUGUAGUGGAACUGCAGAACAUCAAGGACAAAGAGAGAAUUUUGAAAUCAAAUAGAGAUAAAAGCUAAUUUACAGAGGAACAAUCAGGCUGAUAACAGACCUUACUGGCAUUAGGAAAGACCAAAAGAGAAUGAAGGAGUGCUGACAAGAUAAAUCUCAAUGUAAAGUUAAACAUUUAAGAGAGAGGGUGGAAUAAAGAAGUUUAAAGAUGCACAAUGACACAGAAUUCCCUAUAUUCACUUGAAAAAUAGGCUAAAGGACAUAUUUCAUUAAGAAAUAAAUAAAUCCAGCAAGAAGGAAUAUGAUUCAGGAUGAAACAAUGUGCAAAUAAAUUUAUAAAAAAUAUUUUGAAAUCUAAGUAAGUUUUGGAUAUAAAUGGCAUUUGUACCACAAACACUAUUUGUUAUAGCUUAAGGAAAAACUACAAUUAAAUUAUAGAAAACAUAAAUGUUUCUUGACAAGAUAUUUAUAAAAAUAGAUUGUCAACAGGCUAUUUUAUUUUUAACAAAUUAAUUUGGGGAGAUAUCAAGAGGCACCUGAAUUAACACUAAAUAUGUAAUAAAAAUUCAUUUAUUUUCCCCCUAUAUUAUCACUUUCAUGGCAACUUAAACUCAGUCGACAUGAAAAUGGAUCUCAUUUCCCCAGAAGAGGUUUAUCAAUUUCCCCUAAAAGGAUGUUUUGUAUUGUUUUAAGCAGCAGUCCAUUUCAUUGUCAAGUUUGAGCUUGUUAAACUUGUCAAACAUGUAAUUGUUGAAUGAUGAGCUCUUCACAAACAAUGAAGGCCCCAUCUUAAAAACUUAUUUAUCAGUGACUUUCUAAGCUUGUGUGCCUGGUUUUUCAAGUUAUAGAGAUUAGCAGCUACUAUAAUCGUAUUAACAAAGAGAAAAGGCUGUAGGUGGCAGAAAAGGAGCAACCUGUUUAUUAUGUAAUUAGGUAGAUUUCCUGUGGAGUUGGAUUGGUGUGUCGCAGAUUAAUAACUCUCAUUUAUAUUGUAGCAAUACUUUAAAAACAUCAUAGAUUCUUUUAAUAUUAUUGCUGCUUAGAUUAAUGGGUUUUUCUCUAAAGAAGACAAAACAAAACAAAAACAAAAACAACUUUGAGUAACAUGGCAACUGAUAAAAUCAAGGAGGUAAAUUUGUUUUUAAUUCCUCUCCAAGAGAGAGUUGACAUAGUUUGCAAGAGAAUUUUCAAAAAACAUCAAGGAAAUAAGUAUGAACUUUCAUAUUUAAUGAGAAAUUAAAAGUCAAGUUCAUGAUAAUCUCAGUUCAAAGUUUAAUCAGAAGAACUGUUGGCAUUAGUAAUAUUGUCAACAUCCACUAAAGUGAUCAAACACCCGAUCAGUUCAUGCAAUCAGGAAAAAAAAAGUUGUUUGAUUCACUAAAAAAAAAAAAAAUUAAUCAAAUCAUUGAAGUGUGGAUAAUGCUUUUUGAAUCUUUUGAGAAUGUGUGAAAAUUAACUGCUGAAUGGUUAAAAAAACUUAUGUUAAUUGCUAAAGAAAUAUAAAUUUUAGUCUUUUUUUAAGAAGAUUUUUUUUCUUGCUACAUUUCCCUGAAAUUAAGGAAAUGAUCCCAUUAUUUCUUUUUUUAACUUUUAUAUUAAGUUCAGGGGUACAAAUGCAGGUUUGUCGCAUAAGUAAACUUGUGUCAUGAGAGUUUGUUGUACAGAUUGUUUCAUCACCCAGGUAUUAUGUCUAGUACUCAUUAGUUUUUUUUUCCACAUCCUCUCCCUCCUCCCAACCUUCACCCUCCUAAGCCCCCAGUGUGUGCUCCUCUCUAUGCGUCCAUGUGUUCUCAGCAUCUAGCUCCCACUUAUAAGAGAGAACAUGCGGUUUUUGGUUUUCUCUUCCUGAGUUUGUUUGCUAAGGAUAAUGGCCUCCAGCUCCAUCCAUGUCCCUGUAAAGGACGUGAUCUUGUUAUUUUUUGUGCUUACCCACAAUUAACCAGUGCAUUCUUCCUUUAGAUUCCCUAAGCUUAUGUGGCUGAUAAGCUGCUCUCCAGUUAUGCCAUGAUGAUUUCCAUUCCUGAAGGCGGGCUGUAACGAAGAACCAGGAAAACAGGAGCACCACUCCUACCCUCAUACUGCAGCGGUUGAGGAUCCUUAUUUCUAUGCAAUUUAAAAAACUGGAAAUACACUAAAUGUGCCAGUAUCAUUAAAAGUAAAACUACCAUGAAAUAGCACAAAUAUUCCGCACAUGGAAUGUUAAAAACUAAAACAAUAAAAAAAAUCUGCUUUUAAUAGGACUACAUAAAAUGAAGAAAAUCUGUCAGUACAGAAUUGGUCCUAUGUCCAAUUAUUAUUGUGGUAAUCCAAACACAUUAAGUACUCUAAUAUAUCUAAAAUAAUCUAUGAUAAAGGAAAUAAUCCGAAGGAAAGAAAGAAAAGAUGAUUGUGAGAAAUUCUAACAUGUUAUAGUUUUAUGUGGAAAUAAGAAGCUGAAUGGAAAAAAUUAUCAUGAAAUAUUGAGAAAAGAUUAGAAAAUAUGAAAUAGUUAAGAAAAGGAGAAUAGGUAAAAGGCCCAUGGUGAUGAAAAGACACUGCUCAUUUUCUUUUUAAAAAAUUGUCUAAAAUUAUUAAAUAUAGGCAUUCCCAAUUUUUAAAAAUGAAGGAUUGGCACAAAUCUUAGAAUGCCAUUUUCUGUAGAUCUGAAAGCAAUGCUGCUUACAGUGUUACUCCCUUCCUGUUAAAUCUUGCAUGUCUGCAGUAUGUGUUCUAAUAGAAACCUAAGAUCAUGAUCUGCCGUAUGGCAUAUUUUAAAAAGAAAAUUUCAGACUGUAUAAUGAACUAGUUGAUUAUUUAUUAAUAUUUGCUUGUACUACAUUUAACAGUGUAACUUGCCAGGAAAGAAGGAAGCCUGAAAAGUAUUCUAAAUACAUGAAUAAGAAGGGUUCUACAUGAAUUAAUUUUUUUUUUUAACCAUCUACAGAGUUCCUGCCACAUUCUAGGCACUUUAUAUUUGCUGCAACAUCUAUUCUGACAUUGAGAGAACAAGAGAAAAGAGGUUAAAUUUUAAGUACCAUGGAUUUAAAUUAAGUGUAGGAAAGAUUUUUUAUAGUAUGAAUUGUUAAUCUCUAUGUAAGAAGGUAUUCAUUUACUUUGGGUGAUUUAAGGAUGGUCCCUUCUGGAAACAGGAUUACGAACAUGUGGACCUAUUUAGGUCAAUUUCAACAUUGUGAUUUUGAAUCUGACAGGUUCUCAGCUGCUUUUAUUAAAUAACGGAUUUUCUUAGUAAUUAUUGUACUCAAAUUCAGCAAAAAGCUAUCACUUUUUAUAGCCCAAUUUUUUAGUGACACAGCAUUAUGUCUUGUCAAAUUGAAAUUAUAUACUACACACUCUUUACUUAUUAAGAUGGCGUUUCUUUGUAAUAAUUUUGGAGUAAAUAGUUUACCUAUCUAAACCUCUUAUUUCUGAUUUAAUGGAUUUUUGAAGCAUUGAUUUUCCUUAUCAUACAUAAAAAUUGUCAGUUGAGGACAAAAAUGAAUUAACCUGGACUGUGAUGAAUAAUUGUUACACAGGUUGUUUACUGUGUAAUUCCAAAGGAGCAUUCACAUGGUAGACUUUGCAGAUUUCAGUAUUUAUUACAACAGUUUCCUGGCAGAUGGCAAUAGGACACCUUUUUCUAAUAAAAUUAGUUUAUUAUGACAAAUUGCCUUCAGAUGGACAUAAAGUGUCUUGAGGAAGGGCACCUGCUUUGGACUGAAUUGUGUCCCCAAAAAUCAUAUGUUAAAGCCUAAUCUCCAAUGUGAUAAUAUUUGCAGAUGGGGCCUUUGGGAGAUAAGUAUUAGAUGAGGUCAUGAGUGUGGGGCCUUCACGAUUAGUACCCUGAAAAGAGAAGACACCAGAGAGCUUGCCCUCUCUCUCUCUCUUGCCCCACAGGCACACAAAGAGGUCAUGUGAGUACACAGUGAGAUAACAACCACCUAUGAGAAAGAGAAGAGGCUUCAGAAUAAAAUCUACUUUGCUGGUACUGUAAUCUUGGGCAUUAUCCUCUAGAUCUGUGAGAUAAUAAAUUUAUCUUAUUGAAGCCACCCAGUCUAUGGUAUUUUGUUAUAGCACCCUGAACUAAGACAAAUUUUGGUACCAGGAAAUGGGGGUGCUACUGUUAACUAAUACCUAAACAUGGGGAAAUGGCUUUGGAAAUGAGUAGUGAGCAGAGGCUGGAAGAAUUUUCAGGUGCAUCCUAAAAAUACAGACAGUAAAGGUGAUUCUGGUGAGGACUCAGAUGGAAUUGAAUAAUAUGUUAUUGGAAACUGGAAGAAAGGUGAUACUUGUUAGAAAGUGGCAAAGAACUUAGCUGAAUGGUAUUCUAGUGUUUUGGGGAGGGUAGAACUUGUGAGUGAUGAAAGUAAAUAUUUGAGAUUUCUAAGCAGUGUGAUAAAGGAGCAGCUGGUUUUCUCCUGACCGUUUUUGGUGAAUGCAAAAAGAAAAGGGUAAGUUGAGGAAGAAAUUGUUCAGCAAAAAGGAACCAGAACUUGAAGAUUUGGGAAAUUCUCAGCUUAUUUAUAUUGUACAAAAAUGAAAAAACUUGUUCUGAAAAGAACACUAAGAGUUUGACUGGACAACCGUUUGAUAAGGGUUUAUGAGAUUAUGUGAGCAGAAAUUUUGCCAGUUUGAACUGAAGGGGAUGAAGAUGGGAGAAAAAGAAUGAAGGCUUCAAGACACCUUGGAUUUGAUAUGAUGGGCUAGUUGGCUUAUCUGUACUAUUUUUCAAGGAGAGGAAAAAAUGGCCCCAGAGGCAAUGCAGAGAUAUAGCCACAGCCUCAGUUUCAACAGGCUGGACAGUCUCCGCUCAGAUCUUUGGAGGCAGAACCACUCAGAGGACUCAAGUCAGUCAGAGCUUUGGGGCUGGGGCUGGCAACCCCACAGGAUGGAAAGGGUGGGGCUAACCCGCAAAUCCAUGUGAGUAAUGGUUUGGGUGGAAUGUUCCAGACUGAUCUGUGCUUCCACCCAGUGCUCAGAUUCUGUGUUGAAGCCCUUAACCACCAAUGUUAUGGUAUUUGGAGAUGGGGCUUUGUAAGAAAGUUAGGUUUAGAUGAAAUCAUAAGAGUGAGGCCCUAAAGAUCAGUGCCCUUUUAAAUAUGUGUGUGUGUGAUGUGAGAACACAGCAAAAAAGGCAGCCUCUGCAAGCCAGGAAGAGGGCUCACCAGAACCCAUUCAAGCUGGCACCCUGAUCUCAAACUUCUAGCCUCCAAAACUGUGAGAAAAUACAUAUCUGUUGUUUAAGUUACCUAUUCUAUGAUGUUUUGUCCUGAGCUAACAAAUACAACUCCUUUCCAGAGUGUACAAAGAUGCCACAUGAAUCAGAGCUCACCAGCCAUGGUAGGUAUGAUUGUUCAGUGUUCAGCAUAUAGGAAACAUUAGGGAAAAUGCUCCUAUGUUCAGUGAAGAAAAUAUGCAUGACAAGUGAUUUAACAAUAAUGUGAUAAUUCAUUGGAUUACUCUAAGAAAUUUGAGCUUUUUAAGGCAAACUCUUCACAACACACUUGAUAAUAGAUUGAGAGGAAGAUGACUGUGUAAAUAAUCAAACUGAAAAAAUAAGUUACAUUUGCUCUUAUAGAUCAGUGUUCAAAAAGAGACAAAAUGUUGAGGGUGGAGUGGGGUGGACAGGACACUGAGACACUGAGAAUCAAAUGCACUUGGGAUCAGCUUCGAACUAAAGGUAUCAACUGGAGUCUUAAACAUGGGUUUUUCCAGGAAAAGAAAAUGAAAGAAGUCAGAUCAAGCAGAGGAAUUUGUAUAAACUAUCACUAAACUUCCUGACCUAUUCUCUAAAUUUCUUAUUGAUAAACUACAAAUACCUUGAUUGCAUUUUGAGAACAUGCUGUGCCUCUAUCUUAGCAUUCACUACUUUAUAUUAAAAUAGAUUUUGAUGCUUUCCUUUCCAUUGAUUCUCCAACUCAUAAACAAUACCCCAACCCCUAGCAUAGAGUCUGGUACCAUGUUGUUUAUCAAAUUAGACUGAGCUCUGAUAUCGCCUUCUUCACCAGGCCAUCCAUAAUCUUUUCUACCUUCUUUUAAUAUCCUGACCUAUGUCUUGUAAGCCCUCACCACAUUGAGUUCAGCUCUUUGUUAAUGUGUUUGUAAUGUGCUUGUUAAUUUGGGGAGAUGGGAGAUUUGGGUAAGAUUCUAAUUCGACUGUGAAAUUCUUGAAGGCAGAGAUUAGGUCCUGUUCAUAUUUACAUCAUCAGUGUCUUGCCUAGCAUACAGUAAGUUUUCCUUAGGGUUCCUUUUUUUUUUUCUUUUUAAUGAAAUAAAUUAACAUCAAGUAUUUCAAAAUUACUGGAAAUGAGUGUGCUUCAGGUAAGGGUGAGAGGAGGGAAGAUGGAUAAGAUACAAGGCUGGGAAAAUAUGGGAAAAUCAACUUUUGAGGUUAAUUAAUUAAAAAGGAGGAUCCUUGAGUAACUUUUGUGCUUGGUGUGAUGAUGAUAUUCACCAAGGUAAGUUUUACUAGAAUAAUAAGUUAGGGAGAUAACAGGGAGUUGAGACAUUUGUGAAAUAUGCAGGUGUCUGGUAGAGUUGGAUAAAUAGGUCUGGAACUUGAGAAAUUUGUAGAAAAGAUAGUGAUUUGGACAUUAUGAGAGGCAGUACACAGUAAUAACAGCGGUAAUAAUACUAGGUUGGAUGUGGUGGCUCACAUCUGUAAUCCCAGCACUUUGAGAGGCCAAGGCGGAUAGAUCGCCUGAGCUCAGGAGUUCGAGGCCAGCCUGGGCUACAUGCGAAACCCCUGUCUCUACAAAAAAUACAAAAAAUUAGCUGGGCAUGGUGGCAUUUGCCUGUGGUCUCAGCUACUUGGGAGGCUGAGGUGGGAGGAUCACUUCAGCCUGCGAGGUUGAGGCUGCAGGAAGCUCAGAUCACACCAUUGCAUUCCAGCCUGGAUGACAGAGGGAGAUCCUGUCUCAAAAAACAAAACAAAAUAAUACUAAUAAUAACAAACCAUUAAAGUACUUUGUAAGUGCCGGGUUCUAAUUGCUCAACAUGUGCUUAUACCCUUAACACUCACAUAAACAAACUUUUGGAGAUAUGCAUAAUUAUCCCCAUUUUAUAAACUAUAAACCAAGUCACAGACCUGUUAAAUAGUUUACCUUAGGCCAUGCAGAUCCCAAACCAAGCAGGAUUCCCACCCAGAAAGUGACUCUGCUUCUAAAAUUCGUACUCAGUAUACACCCAGUAAAGGGACUGGGAUUGUCAGUCUUUCCUUCGUUGUGUGACUUGGUUAUAUUACCCACCACUUCUGGGCCUCAGUUUCCCCAUUUGCAAAAUGAGGAAAAUAAUACUAUGUAUCUCAAAACAGUGCUUGGUAUAUGAUAGCACUCAAUCAAGCUUAAAUCAUUAUUUCCAUUAACCUAUCUAUGAAUGCUGAAAUUAGAGAAAAAGGUGAAUGUGGGGAAUAAGCAAACCAGAGGGUCCUAGAUCCUGUAAGCAGUGAUUGGAGAGAAAGAAGUCUAGUAUGGGGCUGUGUAAUCAUCCCAAGGAGAAAAGUGAGGCUUCCAGACCUGGGGCCUGGGUAGAAUCCGGGAUGCCUGGUCCAGUGCAGAGGGCUGAGUACCAGUCAUCCACAGCAAGCACUGCGGUGCUAGAAUGAUAAACUGAGAAGAAAUACGCCAAAUCAAAAGCCUGGUCAGCCAUCCAAGUGUAAGUCCAUCUAAAGGGACUGAGCAAAGAAACAUGAAAAAAACAUCAGCUUAGACAGUAAGAGGCAAAGCUUGGAGAAGUUUCUUAAGCAGGUGGAAGGAACUUCAUAGGAUGCCAUGACAUUGAGGGUUGUCCAGUAGACUGCUCUUAAAGACAGUGGUCUUGCACAGUCUGAGUUUGAAGAAUAAUCAAAGUGGUAGGAGGAAAUAAGGAUGAGGCAGCAUCCUAGAAGCCAAGGGAGGAAAAGAAUGUUGUCAAGGAUUUGGGGAGAUGGGAGAUUUGGGUAAGAUUCCAUUUCUUUCCAGCCCUCACAACUUAGUUAAUCCCUGCAACAGUUUAAAAAAGUGGGCAGUCCAUUUAUCCCCAUUUUUAUAGUUUACGAAAAUUAGACAUCAAGGAUAACUGGCUUAGGGUUACAUCGCUGGUGAGUGUCAGAGAUGGGAUUUUAACCCAGGCUGCCUGGCUCCCAAGCCCAUGCUUGCAAUCAUCUAUUGCAUAGUCCUUAUUCCUGGCUGCUUUCCUCUUUGUCGCUUUACUCCAUCCCUGUAUGUUUCUAAAGAGAGAUAACUUGUUUAUAGAAUUUACCAUCUACCUACGCCAUGUUCAGCAAGCGUGGGCAGGGAUAGGGGAGUGGUACAUGUUUAGAUUUUAAGGAAUUGCCCUCUCAAAUAUUUACAUAUAGUCUGAGUCCUCUCCUUUCCCAGAAGGCUUCAGGUUUUUUGAAGCUGGUUUCAGGAAAAAACUAAAACUAAAAGUAAAUCGAAAUAUUUUCUUCUUUCAGUUUAGGAAACUAUGAAGGAAAAUAAAUCAGUUAAUUUCAAAGUGAAUUAAUGGAUCCUGAGUUAGCAACUGUAGUAUUAAAACCGUUCAAUUACUUUCUAAAACAAGAAGGAUUCAUUAAUAUUGAUUGGCUGUUUGGCGAGAUGUACAAUGUAAAAAGUACUUCAAAAUAUGUGUUAUAUCUGUGUUUAAAGAGAGACCAAGACCAAAUAAUAAGAACAUUAAAAAGUUAGACAUGUCUACUUCAGUUGGAUCCGCUCCCUCAGCAAGUGCAGUGUAAUGCUCUUUAAAGCAUAGAGGAUUCAAAAUCCAUAAUGACCUUGAAGGUCUUACCAGGGUUCCAGAUAAUCAAUACUGUUAAUAAUCACAUCAUGUGUAUUAAGGAUCAAUACAUUCUAAAAUUUUAAAUAGCCUGUUUUGGAAUCACAUUGAUACUAAUUAAAAUUCCAGUUAUAACCAACCAAAACAUAAUUAAAUAUGAAUGUUGGUUAAAUGAAUGGAUAACUGCAUGAACAGAAUAAAACACCCAUGCAUGAGUUAUGAUGGCGUGCUUUCUGGUUCUGUAACAUACUCUUUUUGAAUAUUCAAAUCUCAGAUAAUUACAUACAGAUCUUAAAAGUUGAAUUUUCUAUUAAGAUCAGUUCUUUCUUCUAUGUACAUUAUCUAUUAGGUAUUAAAUUCCAUUGCAUAGAGACAGUGAGAAGAUUGAUUUGGGUGGAUUUGAUUGUUGGGGUAAAUAUAGUAUGUGAAAAUUAAUCUUAAACUAAAUUCAAAAUUCAAGUUUCCCCAGCCUACACUUACUCUGUAACUCAAAAGUUUUUAACUUUGGGUGUACUUCAGAUUGUCUGGGGAACAUUUAAAAAUACCAUUUUGUGAAUCCCACCCAGGGCAAUUAAAUCAGAAUCUCUGUAGGUGGAGCAUUAGUGUUUCUCAAAAUCCUCCCAGUGAUUCCAGUGUGCAUUCAGGGCUGAGAACCAACAUUCUAGUCUUUUUAUUAACUUUAUUAGCAUUGAUCUUAAGAUCCCCUACUCUGGGACGUCAGAAUUUCAGGGAUAAAAGGUGGUCAGUAAAAGCAACCUUAUUCAUUUGUUCAUUCACCAUGAAAACAUACAUACUAAGAUGACAGAAUGAAGUGCUACGUGAAAGUCUCGGGAACACUGACCAAACCCCUAGUUCUCAAGUGACUGAGAGUGUAGUACAAGGGAGAAAAGACAGAUGAAAUGCUACCUUAAAAGAUAUACAAGAAAAAAAUGUCAACCUGAUAUCCCACCAUCACCUCAAAAGCAACACAUCUGAAAGCUUCUCUCUUCUCUAAACACGUUUUCCUAGUACCUGGAUAUUAAGACCAUAAUCCUAGAAAACCAAGCUUGGAUAUUAGCCUGGCUCUGACUCUUUCCCACAUGUCUGGGGUUGACAAAUUGUGUGGGGUUUUCCCUCAACAGUAUUCCUUCGUCUGCACCCUCCUUUGAAUUCUCCCUUUUUGCCUAUAGUCUCUUACUUAAUGUUGAUCUAGAAUAUAAAAAACAAUGAUAUAACUUGGCUCUCUAUACAUACUUCCUUCUUGUAAAAUAUCAUUCUGGUCAUGUCCAAAAACCUCCAGUGAUUCCUUAAUAAGAAUUUUAAGUUACUGAUUUUUCAAAUUCAAAUAUCCUCCACUAUUUGUCCACACUGUAUAAACUACUUCUGGUAGUUUAUAUGAAUAUCAUUAAGAAGCAAUGAAAAAAGGCUAAAUAAAUAUUUCAUAGGAACAAAAAACCAAACACCGUAUGUUCUCACUCUUAAGUGGGAAUUGAACAAUGAGAACACAUGGACACAGAAAGGAGAACAUCACACACUGGGGCCAGUCAGGGGUCGGGGGUGACUAGGGGAGGGAUAGCAUUAGGAGAAAUACCUAAUGUAGAUGACGGGUUGACAGGUGCAGCAAACCACUAUAGUACGUGUAUACCUGGGUAACAAACCUGCACCUUCUGCACAUGUAUUCCAUAAUUUGAAGUAUAAUAAAUAAAUAAAUAAAUAAGUAAAUGAAUAAAUAUUUCAUACAUUUCAAAUACAAGCAUUUACAAAUAACAUUACAAGGAAGAAUGCAACAAGCAAAAUGUAAAUUUAUAGUACAUAGUAUGGGAAUAUUAAACAUCAUUCCAGUAUAAAUUAUUCAUAUUCAAUUAAAGUAUUAUUAAAAUAGCAAACAAAAUACUAGAUUAAGUGGAAAAAAAGAUUAAGAUUAUGGAAAGCAAAAGAAUAUUCUUUCAUUUUAUAGAUUUGUGACAUAAAGAAGCAAAGCUUCAUUUGAACCAUUUUGUGGUAAUUUUUCUAACUGCUCCAAAAGUUAUCUUCACAUCUACACUGCUCAGGGAAAUUCUCUAGAGGAAGCUGUAAACUAUUUCUGCAUAUUUUCCUUUGAUUCCUUCAUCUUCAGGUAAUCCUACUUUUUUCAUAAAUAUAAGAUCUGUUAUUACCUUUUUUCUUUUCAAGAACUGCAGUCUUUUUAAUUACGUUCGACCUAUAAUUUUUAUUUCUAUUUUUUAAAAUAUUUCCAAGUUUGUACUCACCAUCUUUUAUUUUGUGUACUUGGAGAUACCUGUGCAGAGUUACCUCUCUCCCUAUCAACACCACCUUACACAUGUGUCAUCAGAGUAGGAUUCUUCUUGCAAAACAAGUUUGCAGUACCACGGUAUGUUUGCUUAGUAUGUGUGGAUGAUUUGCCUGUCUUUUUUGUAUAAAUUGAACAAUUAAAUCAUUGAUUUUAAUUGUAUGCUGUAAAAAUGUCAUAAUAAUAAAACAAUAUUAUACAAACAAUAUUACCAGUACUUUGGUACUUCAGAUUAAUAUGACAUGAUUGAAUGGUGAAAUGCUGAAAGCCUGUAUUGAAAUCACUAGAUUGCAUUAUUAACAAUAUCACAGUACUUAUUAAAAUAAUAGUGUUUUUACUAGGUGGACUUUUCUAAGUGAGGCACUGUAGGUCCAGUGGUCCAAAAUCACAUCAUGCUAUGCAAUAUUCUGUAAUUUAAUUAUUGUGACCCUAUUGUAAAGUAAUAAUGAGUUGCCCAUCAGGAGAAUCAAUUCUUGUCAUUCAGUUUGUUUUUUGCAAUAGAUUGAGAUGUAAGAAGAUCACAGGAAAGUAUACUAAUAUUUUUUAAAUUGUGUUUUUAUUCUUUUUAUUGUUUCUGAGAUUAAAAAGUCAUUCAAUAUAAUGCAUUGUGUUUUAUUUGGAGAAAAUUCUUUGUUACAUUACUUUUCAUUUGUAACAUUUACAUUUAACAAAUAUGACAGUAAAUUAUAUAUAUAUAUAUAUACAUAUAUAUGCAAAAGAAAUUUUUUUUCAAAGGGCCCAGUUUUAAUAACUUACUAUCAUACUAUAGGUGGAAAAAUGAAACAAAUUAAGGUUGCAUUUUGCAAUUUGACUUUCAGGAUUUUAAAUUUUAUUUAUAUUUCUAAUUUCAUAUAUUUUCUGACAUUUCUCUACCAGAACACACACAGACAUAUUCACACAUAUGUAUACAUAGAUGUUCUGACCUUACAGUUUUGCUUGAAAGUUUUGUUCUACCCAGAAUAACCCCAUUCAUCCUUUCCAUCUAUCAAAAUCUUGUCCAUUCUUCAAAACACUCUGUAAAUCCUGUCUGUUCUCCUCUGGCCACAGUAGCAUGAAAUCCUCUCUCCUUCCUCUGACUAUCUUUGGUCUUUAACAUUUGUAUCAUUCAUUUAUUAAAUAUGUUCUUUCUCUAAAUAGUUCUUAGAGUUAUGCUGCUUAAUAUUUUUAUUUAACUUUUAUAUGCAAUCAUCUAAACUGUAACUUAUUGAGAACAGAGUGCUACGUCCAUCUUUAUCAAUGUGCUCUCUAAAUUGCCUUCUGUAAAAACUGGUAAAUACAACAGAAACAAGCAAUAUAAAUCCACACUGCCCAUAUCUUACAUUUUAUAUGGGAAUGUGAUAAGACUUAAAAUAAAUAUAUUUAUUAUGAUAAUGUUGAGUAUGGCGAUUAAUUCUCCCAUGUGACAUGUAUAUGGUUAUGUAUGUUUGUAUUGAUAGAGAAAAAUUUUAACUUAAUUCUGAUUAGCAUCUUACAGCUUUUCAAAAUUCAUUCUACUGUGUCUUCUCACGACUGAUAACUUGGAAAGGUGAGUUACUGCCAUUAUAGUCCUUGCUUAUUUAGGAGGAAACUGGUGUUCAGAGAAUUAUAAUUUGAUAAUAAAGAUUUGAUCAUUAUUAAUUGGUUAAGGAGGCACCACAAUUAGAGUCUAGGAGUCUUCUAAUCCAAUUUCUCUCAAAAUAUCUGCAAUGAAAGACCAGCUUCCCACCCCGCCCAAUAUGCUGCCAACCAUUAUUUUUUAGUAAUAUAAUUGAAUUACUAGAAAAUUAAGAAAAUAGAUUAAACAAAACACAAGUCCAAAUAUGUUAUUACUAGAUUCAACAGCCAUUAAAUUACUUUAGCAAAUAGCUCUAAGAGUUCCUAAAUUGUUAAUCUCAAUGUGCUUAUUGUUUUGGAUGGAUAACAAAUAGCAUAUGGAAAAGCUCCAGUCUCUGGACCACACUUUGAGAUUGUUUGUGUCAAUCAUGACAUAUCCCUUCUAAGAGAAUCAUCCUCAUCCAGAACAUCUGCCAUCUAAAUUGCUAUGUUUACUCACACAGGAUCUAACCCUAACACUAACCCAACCCAAACACGAACUCUUCAAAUUUACAGCUGAAUGGAGUGGGGCCAAAAAGCAGAUUGGCCAGCCAUUUAUGAACUGUGUGGCCAGGCUGCAAAAAAUGAGCUGGGCUCAUCACUUUUUGUCUCUGGAUUUAGAUAUAAUACGUGAAGAAAAAAAUUUUUCUGUGACAGUCAAAGGUUUGAGACAUGGUUAAAAUGUGAAGUAGCAGAAACUUUGAGUAAUCUGUGAAAGUUGGAUUGGGGCAGGGCAGAAAGAGGAAUAUGUGCAAUGCAGCUGAGUCAUAUUAAUAGUAGAUCACCAAAGAUUAAAAAACUGCUGAGGCUGAAAUACGUAAAGCUGCUAGAAUUCUAGAAUUACCUCCAGUACCCCUUAGGCCAAGGCAUGAAACAUUAUUUUCUUUGAAUGUCCUGAGACACAGAUCCCACACUUCUUACAAUGUACAUAUAUAUCCUAGCUGGCACAAACAUGUUUCUGAAUUAUUCAAGAAGCUUAGCUUAACCAGAGCAUAGUCCCAGGCUUUUCAUAUUAUACCAAACAAGCUUAUUUCAGAACCAAUCAAAACCACAUUUGAAAGACAAGUUAUUGGCAUCCAUAUCUCUGCAAUGAGAUUGUAAACCAAACUGUGUUGAUCUUGUGGAGCUACCUGUUUGCUACUACAACCUAUCUCCUACAUACCUACUUUUCUAUUUCUUUUGUUUCUAACUUAGUCACAAAAAAGAAUAAUUACAACAUUUUUCAUAGUUAAUUAUAGUCUGAUUUUGCUCAAGGAGGAAAUACUUAAAAUUUAUACCAAAUUAUCUUAAUAAUGGAUGAGCUCCUACAAUUCACCUGCCCUCUGCAUGUUCUCCGAUUUUCCGAUUUGCACAGCUUUUUAGAACCAAACCCCACUCUUUACUGGACCAGAUAUGUGCUUUUAGUUGUACUAACCCAGACACAAAUCAUAUGUUAAUGGCUUCUGGAAUCAUCCCAGAAAUCAAAGGUGUAGGUAUGAGAUUGAGUGCACGAUGAUUUUCAAAACAUGUUUUAUUGCCUUGAUGCUUUUGUUAAAAAAGAAAAAUGUUCAGAUUGAUUUUAACUCCUUAGCUAUAUUAAAAUAGCGUAUUUGCUUCACAGCUGAAAAGUUUCCCUUAGUACAAAAAUGAAAUCAUAGUUUCUUUUUUUAUUCUUCAGUAAAUUCUAAAUUUGAAAUUACGGCUAAAUUAAAUUGUUUGUGUCAGAUAUUAACAAUAUGGGGCCUUAGAUUAAAACAAUCUCCAUGUAAUCUUACUGAGCCAGUAGGUCAUAGAAAUAAGAGAAAAUGUGCUUGAAUCGCAGGAGAGAAGGGAUGUUGGAUAGAUCUGUGAAAUCUUUAUGUUGUAGUAUCAGCUGAUUGAUAGCAGUGAUUCUCAGAAGGGUUCCAAUAUUAUGCCUUUUAAAAGCCGGAGAUUAGUGCAACCAUGGUGAACACAGUGACAUUCUGGCAAAGAAAAAAGGGUCAGGGCUGGCAAAAUGUGGCAGGUGUCAAAAUAAAAGGUUAGGCUUUAUGCCUGGGGACCCAUCUGUCAGAUAAAAGUAUGACAAGGCAAUUAAUGUGUUUAUUUAUGUUGCUUAUGACAAACAUGCAUUCCCUAAAAAUGAUCAAUUUAAACAUUAUCAACUGUUUUCUGGAAAUUAAAAUUAAUAUAAAAAUAAAAUGCUUACGAUAAAAAGCAAGGUCUACUACUGAAAUGGUUUGUUUAUAUAACCAAAUAUAGUUAACUAAGGGAAAUUAUAGUCAUCUUCAUUGAAGGAGUAAAGCUAUUAAAUGUAACAACUUGACAAUAUAGAGGUUAUAUUAAGGACCUACAAAAUUAAUGUUUAUGCUGCAAAAUUUCGGCAGCACUCCCCACAAGUUCAGCAUGUUUUAGAUUCAUUGAGCUAAAUUUGAUAAUUCCAUAAUAAAAUGAAGCCAAGAAAAUUAUGAAAAAAAAUAGAAUUUAGAUAUCCAAGCUAUGUGUCUUGCAUUUUCUUUAACUGUUUUGUUCACAACCUUGUCAUUAUUAGAGCUUUCAUUUUCACUUUGUGACUAAUCCUGACUUAUCUUUAAUUUAUUUAUUAUUUAUUUAGUUUCUCACUACUUCUGCUUUACCAUCUGUUUAAACUAGAAUAUGUCUAGAUUUAAUGUUCAUCAGUGAUACUUCUUUUUACAGAUAAAAUAAAUUACUACAAGCUCCUAAAAUGUCAUGCAUUUUACAGGUCAAUAAAAUUCUAACCAAGAAUUAUGAGCGAAACAGGAUUUACUACAGUCUAAAGUUUUAUGCAACAGCCAGUCAUCUCCAUACUUUCCUAAAGUAAAAAAAGCUGUCAAUUAUCAUGUAUUAGUAAGUGAGGCUCACACUUUUUAGUAACAAAAUUUGAAGAGAAAUAGCAUGUAUGUCUAGAGUAAUGUGAUAUGCAGAAGAAAACUUUAAAAUCUUUAAUUAUAAAGGGAAAAAAGCCAAUAUGACUAUGUUAUUGGUAAGGUGCAGUUUCUAUCUGCUGAGCGAUGAAAUUUGAACGAGUAAAGCCAUUGGAAUAGUAAAUAAAAUCAUUUGGCUUUGAAAAGAACAGAGGUAUUUUGUACAGUAGUUUUGUUUUCUUUAGGCUGAGGCAGCAGUUAUGCCAUCACUAUCACUUUCCAUCUUUUAGGAGGAUGUUGGGAUUACAGCGGAGGCAGGGGAAUCACUUGAAACUGGGAGGUAGAGGUUGCAGUAAGUUGAGAUCGCACCACUGCACUCCAGCCUGGGUGACAGAGCAAGACUCCGUCUCAAAAAAAAAAAAAAAAAAAGAAAAGAAAAGAAAGACACUGCUGUAUUUUAGGUGGAUCGAACCUACUUAAUUUUUAAUCCUAAAGUAGAGAGAUACAAUUGGGGGCCUUCCAUAUAGAAAGUGGGGUCAGGAGGCCAAGAAAGGGAAUAUAAAUUUUUAUUCAAGUCACUCAGAAACUUUUAUGUAGGUGCUAGAAACUUAUGUCAAAGUGGCCACAAGAUUAUUUAAUAGGAGACAAACAAAUGUAACUCCAUGUUUACUGCUAGAAACCAAAGCUUUGUGUAAAAUCUUGAAUUUAUGGGAGGGAGGGUAGGAAAGCCUGUACCUGUCUGUUCUUUUCCUGAUCCCUUUCCCUCAUUCCUAAACUGCAGGAGAUUGAGCCCCUUUGGGCUUUGGUGACCCCAUCACUGGGGUGCGUUUAUUUGAUGGCUGAUUUUGCUGUACUGGGUAUUUCCUUUCCCAUUUUCUAAUCAUUUAUUAACACAUGCUGACUCUUCCCUUACCUUCUCCUUUCCCUGGAAAAAUACAAUGAAUAAAUAAAGACUUAUUGGUACUCAAAAAAAAAGAAAAAAAAAAAAGGAGGAUGUUGGUUAAAUUUUGAGCUAAUUAUUUUUUUUCUCCCCAAGAUUCCUGUCUAGCCCUUAUCAUUAUUAUAGUUUUUAAAAAAUUUUUAUAAAAUUAUACUUUAAGUUCUGGGGUACAUAUGCAGAACCUGCAGCUUUGUUACAUAGGUAUACAUGUGCCAUGGUGGUUUGCUGCACCCAUCCCCCUGUCACCUACAUUAAGUAUUUCUCCUAAUGUUAUCCCUCCCCAAUCACCCCACCCCCUACUAUUCCUCCCCUGGCCCCCCACCCCAUGACAGGCCCCAGUGUGUGAUGUUCCCCUCCCUGUGUCCAUGUGUUCUCAUUGUUCAACACCCACUAUGAGUGAGAACAUGUGGUGUUUGGUCUUCUGUUCUGUUCUUAAACUAUCUUCUACUUGUCACAUAAAAUGGCUUCUCAGAGGACAAUACCAAUGUCAGGAUAGGAGUUGAGGAAUAAAAAGUAAAUAAAAAGACACAAAAUGCAAACUUUGUUAUAAUUUUCAUUCAGUGGCCUUAUACAUGAUUUACAAAUUUUGUUUGAAGUUUAAUUAUAAUUAACCACCAUUUAAAUUGAAUUCACUUCUGGUUGUAUUUCCUGAUUCAGAGUUCCAUAUUGUUUCCUUUGCUGGUUUUAAUUUAUUAGAACCUGACAAUAUUCUAAACUGAUUCUAUUUCCUGUCCAUUUUUUUUUUCAUUCACCUAGAGGUACUUGAAAAUGCAUUAGGCAAAAAAAAAAAAUUUAUUAUUCACCAUUUUGUACAACUCUUGAAAACUAAGAUAUGCUACAUAAUCUACAUAAUAAAAGUAAUAAUUUCAACAGAAAAUCAAGAUGCCACUCAAUUUUGCCAUGGAUUUAUAAAACUGACACAUCAGACAAAAGAAAGAUACGAGAAAAUUUGCUGGUUAUCUACUCACUUCAAUUCAAACAUUUGAAGAAAUUACGAAAAUCCUGAUGAGUUUUAAAACUCUUUGCUUACUCUCAUAUAGUGCAACCAUGCAUUGAUCUAUCAUCACAGGUAUGGUUUCAUAAAUGUCCCCUCAACCAAUCAGAUAGAAAUUCAUACCAAUUUGCAAAAUUGUUUUCCUUAUUUUUUAAAGCUUAACACAUAUAAGAUAAUUUGGGAAAAAUAGAUUUUCUCAUUCAUCAUUCUUUCAAUUCAUGAUAAUGGUAAAUGGUAUUCUUGAGUACUUUCUGAUUUUAACAAAGGAUAAAAAUUCUUGGUGUAAAAUCUGUUAAGUGAAGGGAGUACCCAAGUACAAUUUUAUUUAUGUUGUGAAAAAAGUGCUAUCAGCUUGAAAAGUUCAAUUGUUUCCAAAUUGUUAAAAUGAGUCCCUAUUAAUCACCAAAUGAUUUUUUUAUUUCUGUCAAAUAAUUUUGGAUCUCAUCCAUUUUCAAGGCAUCAACCCCUAUCUCAGGCCUUCUAUAUUUGUUUCUGGUAUAGUCCAUAGUUUUGUUUUAUUUUAAUUGAUCAACCAUUCAUACAGCCCUAUCUGCAGAUGAAAAAUCUCUGAUACAAAGUGGGUAAAUAAUUUUAAAAAUGUGACCCCCACCUUAUUUUAGAAAGAAAAAAGAAAAGAAACAGCAGCAGCAAACAGUCUGAAACAGCAAAGAAAUUUGUUGUGGGCCAAACAUAAGAAAUUUAAGAUGAACUGUCCCAAUAAAAUACAAAUAAGAAAUAACACAAAGAAAUUGUGAAAGCUUAAGGGAAAAAGAGAGGAUAAUGGAAUGAAAGAAGCAUAAAACUUUUCCUUGAGUUCUAUCAUAUAAUUUGUAUAAUUCUGAAAAAAACAUUUCUUGUAUUAAUUUCCAAAACAGUACACAAAGACAUCUGUGUUUCUAAAACUAAAAAUGUUAUUGACAUUCAUAAUUUUUAUGAUUUGUCAGGUGAGUAGUUUAUUAUGUUGGGAAGGCAUCACUGUAUGAUGGUUUAGAGGAUGGGCUUUGUAGACGACUGGGAGCUCAAACCCUGGCUCUCCUACUUCGUAUUGUAUCUGUGAUCUUGGCAGUCAUGUGUCAGCGUCACCUCCUACUGGUUUAUGAUAGAUGAUUUUGUGCAUCUCUCCCCAACAUUGUGCUCAGUGACAUAAUAGGUAGUUUGAAAUCAGCCGAGAUGAGAUUAUUUACACCUCUAAAAUUGGCACACUAAAUCAAUCAUGGUUUUAUUCCCUAUGUGCCAGCUUACCAGAAUACCACUGGACCUUGGGCAAGUUUCCCAACCUUUGUGAACCUAAAGGUUUUUUUUUUUUUCAUCUGAAAAGGAAAAUUAAAUAUGACAGGUCCACAUAGGAUUCUGAAAACCUUUCAUUGGAUGAUACAUUUCACAUGAUUCCCAGUGCAUAGUAAACAUCAAUACUGGUAUCACUGUAGCAUUUUAAUUCAGCCUAUUGUCUGUAGAACAUAGAACAGUUUCACAUUUCUAACACCUUAGAAGGCAUUUCAAUUAGUUCAUUAAAAUUCCAGGAGAGAAGGACUUGUAAAAAUGACUUUACUGACUUUAUAGAUGAAAUGGUUUCUCCUAAAUAUUAUCAGAUUUCUGUAAAUAAGAUAAACAAUUACUAAUACUAGAAUAGUAAAUUUCUUCUAUGAUUAGUUUAGAAAAAAUCUAUUUCCCACUGUGUGUACAUAUGUAUAUAUAUAUAUCCACACACACACACAUAUAUAUACACAUGUAUAUAUAUAUUUUAUGUGUAUAUACAUAUACACACACACAUAUAUAUAUACAUAUGUAUAUACACACACACAAAAAAAAUAUAUAUAUAGAAGCUCAAGGCACCUCCUGGAAUUUUAACCCAUUCCCCUGAAUUAGAUUAACUUCGUGGCUUCAGUUCUUCAAAAUUUCUUGAUAAGUUAAUAUGAGGACUGAUGCUGCUAUAGGCCCCACAGUUUAGAAAGCUCUCAUAGAAAAAUCAUGAUGACAGACAGUAUGUGUAACUUGAAACUUUAAAGGUAGGCCCUGUGGGAAACAAAUUUAAGGAAAGAUUAAACAGUCUAGAGAUAACCCUGCUUAGUUGCCUACUUAAAAACUCACAUCUAGGUAGUCUUCAAUAUGGAUUAUUCUUAAGAUCCUUUUUUUCAUUUCUGGCCUUGGAAUUUAAUUAUUUAAAAUAUUUUAAAAUGUCAUACACAUAUAUUUUCUGAUAUAGUUUAUAAAAUGUAAAGAUCAGGUUAUUGUUAAAACAUUCACAUUUCUAACCCAAGAAAGCAUUUUAAUUCGUUCAUUUUAAGAAUCUACUUAAGUAAUUUUCUAGUAGAGAAAAUAAAAACCUACUGAAGUUGAAUUGAAAUGUAAGUCCUUUAUUACUUCAAAGACUUCAUGGUAGACUGUUUACAAGGAUAACUGAAAUAAUUCCUCCUAACCUUGUAUGCACACAUCUUUGCAAUAUGACUUUGCUGUUUCUCUCAUCAAGAGCAAAACUCAUUUCUCUCCCCCUUCAAUCUGGCUUUGCCAGCUGACUCACUUUGGCCAGUAUGACACUAGCAAAUCUGAUAAUAUUAGAGGUUUGACAAGCACAUGCCCAUUAGGGCUUGCUGUCCUUGUAGUCCUGAGACUGCCAUGUAAAAAAGCUUGAGCUAGCUGCUGGGAGGAGAGACCACAUUAGGUGGAGAUGAACCAUACCAGCUGUGGCUCCCUGGACUAAGCACCAGACAUAUGAGCAAGGUCACUGUAGACCAUUCAGCCCUAGAUGACCUGUCUGCUAACUGGAGUACAGUUUAUCACCCACAGACUCAUGAGAAAAAAUAAAAUAAAAAUUUUCUUUGAAACUGAGCGUUAGUGGCCCAUGGACCAAAUCCAGUCCACUACAUGAUUUUGUGCAUUGUCUAAGGUUGCUUUCACACUACAGUGGCAGAGUUGAUUAGUUACAACAGAGACCAUAUGGCCUGGAGAGCCUAAAAUAUUUACUAUCUUCUCCUUUAUAUAAAAAGUUUGCUGAUCCCUGUUCUAAGUUUCUAAGAUUUGAGGUGAUUUGUUAAGCAGCAAUAGAUAAAUGGCACAGACCUAUUUUCCAAAAGGAAAUAUGCCCCAUUUUUUACUAAAUGAAUUAAUUUCUAUGCUCACACACAAAAAAAUGCAAGCCUCCCCCACUCCCAUAGGGCCAGUAAUCCCAUCUAUGACAAAAGUAUUAUGAUUCAGUUUGCAUUUCUAAAGGACAAUUAUGGAGACUGCUAGUUUUAUACCACUAUCUGUUUCUUCCCUUUUUCCACAAUUGGAGCUGGGAAUGCACCCACCCAAUCAGGGAUUACAUUUCUAAGCUUCUAUGUCAAUUAUGUGUGACCACAAGACUAGGUUUUCACUUUUAGAAUAUGAAUGGAAAUCAUGCAUGCAUUUCUUGGGCUUUCUCCAUGCUCUUCUUCCCCUUCCCACUAACUGGAAUCUAUAGCAACCUAACUUAUAAUACAGAGAAUUAGAAUGUCCUAGAGAAAGGAAGAGCACCAAUGAAAGGAAUCUUGGUCACUUAAAAACUAUGUAGAGCUGUUUGUUAUUUUUCUCAUAUAUUUGUCUAAGUUAUUUGUAGAUUCUGGAUAUAAGCCCUUUGUUGGAUGGAUAGAUUGCAAAAAUUUUGUCCCAUUCUGUAGGUUGCCUGUUCACUGUUCACUCUGAUUAUAGUUUCUUUUGCUGUGCAGAAGCUCUUUAGUUUAAUUAGGUUCCAUCUGUCAAUUUAGGCUUUUGUCCUUGCUUAUGGGUUUUAGUCAUGAAGUCUUUGCCCAGGCCUAUGUCCUGAAUGGUAUUUACUAGUUUGUCUUAUUGGGUUUUUAUAGUUUUAGGUCUUAUGUUUAAGUUUUUCAUCCAUCUUGAGUUACAUUUUGCAUAAGGUGUAAGGAAUGGGUCCAGUCUCAGCUUUCUGCAUAUGGCUAGCCAGUUUUCCCAACACCAUUUAUUAAACAGACACUUCUCAAAAGAAGACGGCAUGGCUAACAAACAUGUGAAGAAAAGCUCAUCAUCACUGGUCAUUAGAGAAAUGCAAAUCAAAACCACAUUGAGAUACCAUCUCAUGCCAGUUAGAAUGGCAAUCAUUAAAGUCAGGAAACAACAGAUGCUGGAGAGGAUGUGGAGAAAUAGGAAUCGCUUUUACACUGUCUGUGGGAGUGUAAAUUAGUACAACCAUUGUGGAAGACAUUGUGGCACUUCCUUAAGGAUCUAGAACCAGAAAUACCAUUUGACCCAGCAAUCCCAAUACUGGAUAUAUACCCAAAGGAUUAUGAAUCAUUCUACUAUAAAGACACAUACACAUGUAUGUUUAUUGCAGCACUGUUCACAAUAGCAGACUUGGAACUUACCCAAAUACUCAUUGAUGAUAGACUUUAUAAAGAAAAUGUGGCAUAUAUACAUCAGGGAAUACUCUGCAGCCAUAAAAAAGGAUGAGUUCAUGUCCUUUGCAGGGACAUGGAUGAAGCUGGUAACCAUCGUUGUCAGCGAACUAACACAAGAACAGAAAACCAAACACUGCAUGUUUUCACUCAUAUGUGGGAGUUGAACAAUGAGAAUACAUGGACACAGGGAGAGGAACAUCACACACUGGGGCCUGUCAGGGGGUGGGGAGCUAGGGAAGGGAUAGCAUUAGGAGAAAUAUCUAAUGUAAAUGAUGGGUUGAUGGGUGCAGCAAACCACCAUGGCGCAUGCAUACCUAUGUAACAAACCUGCACAUUCUGCACAUGUAUCUCAGAAUUUAAAGUAUAAUAUUUUUUUUAAAACUAUGUAGAGCAUGCACUCUCCCCAACUUAAAACACUGUAAAGUUGAAUCUUCCUGAAGCCACUGAAUUAUCAUUAGAUGUCAUUUUCACAGCAGGCUACUCUUAUCCUAACUAAAGUAAUAGUUUUAUACAAUAUACUUUGGCAUCAGAAUGAUUUAGUUGGUAAAAUAUUGGAUCUUGAGUCAAAAACUCUAGGGUAUUUUGAUAAACUUUGCCCCAAUUUUCUGAGUUGGCCAGAGGCUAGUUACUUACAGUAACUGUGAUUUUAUUUUCCUAGAUAAAAAUAUACAACUCCAGAUAGGCGAAACAGGAAUUUCGAACACUGACCUUUCUAAUUCCUACUUCUUCCAAGUAAGAGGGCUGCAAUAACUGGUGAUUGCCCUAGGCAUGUGUCAUUUUAGUCCCAAGAAAUGCUUAUAUACCAACAUAGUGCCUUAGGGUAAUGUAAUGGGAAAAUAAUCAAGGUGAGUUUUUGGCAUUUGGACAGCUAGAGAUAGCUUUCCCAUGAAAGGGCAAAUAUACUUCAUUUUGAGAAAAUUAGAAGAAAACUGGGGAAGAGGGUUUUAGUUACAUUCUGUAUAUACAUUCAAUGAUGGCAGCCAAUAAGUCUUAAACUUCAGGGUAUAUGAAGGGAACUUGUUAAAAAUCAUGCAAAUUUGAGUACUCUCCUGUGUCCCCCAGAGGUUAUAUAUACUUCAGAGGAACUAGAGUGGACCCUAUAAUCUCAAAGUCAAAUGUUAUGUUAAGUGAUAUUUUAGAUAGUGACCCUUUUGAGAAACCACAGCCAUGGCAGAAAUUAAAUUCAGGUGUUGUUUCAGUUCUAGGAAAUGCAGAAAUUGAGAUGUGGCAGCUAAAUCCUGGUACAAAAGACUUAACAGAGUUUCCAGAUGAAAAGCUUCUAGAUCUUAAAAUAGCAUUUAAUGAUUCUAUUAAAAAAUAAAAAAGUUUUAAACAAAAUUGUGAAAAUGAAAUUGGCCUGUUUUGCCUGUGAAUUACCUACUCAGCCUUCAGUAUCCAAUUUAAAAGUAACUUCCUCUGGAAGUUGUAUUAGACAUCACUGUUAUGUGCGCUUAUCAUACUCCAUAAUUUCUGGUUCAGAGCAAAUAGCACGGUGAGCUUAGUUAUCUAAUUGCCUUUCUUCCCUGUUGAACUAAAUACUCUGUAAGGAAAGAAAUUGUGUCUUUCUUGCUCACCAAAAUAUCCCCAGAGCUUAUUAGGAUGCCAGGAAUACACCAGGUGUUUGACAAAUAUUUGUUGAAGGAAUGAAUCUCUGAAUGGGAAAUAGCUAGCUGAUUUUAUCAGCAAAGGAAAUGGACGAGAAAAGUAAUGAGACCAAGUGUAAACUGCCUAAAGGAUGUGCUUACAUGAAGCAGAUGACUUAAGUAAUAUAAAGCCAGAUGUGUAUUCAGAAGAUAAUGUUGGGUCAUGUGCCCUUGUGGGCAUUUUUCUUUGGAGGAAAGAAGAGUGAUAGGUUUUAGUGCAGGAACAAGGAUUGGAGGUAAUGUCCUAUUUCAGACCAGUCUUCCUACAGGGACUAUACAUAGUUUUGGGAAAGGGACUUUGAAACAUGUUGAUUUUUUUUGUUCAGUAAUAUAAUUAUGGUAAUCAUUCUUCUAUGUUAUUAGAUAUUCUUUUGGAUAACACUGAGGAUGGGAUGCUUGUGAGGAACAGCACUGGUAUUUAGAUUUCCCAGCUUAUGAGGGAAAUACCCUUCACAGGUUUAGAGUACAGCUGACUUGAAACAAAAUUCAUCUCUCCAUAGUUAUGUUUUUAAAAGAAAUUGUUUAAAUUUAAGUAAACUAUUGAUAUAUGUUAUUUGUUUUCUUUAAAAUUUGGGUUUGGGAGUUCUGUGUUUUCUAAUACUGAAAGAAAAAAAAAUCAAGAACAGUAACAGAUUAGAGAAGAAAACAGAAAAAUCCUGUGAAAAAUGUCCAAAUGGAGGCUGCAAAGAGGGGAAGUCAUUCCUAGUAAGCAGCUAACCAGCUGAAUGAUCUGGAAAAAAAAAAGUCUCUCAACUCUAUCUACCUGGAUCUCAUUAGUAAAAUUAGGAGGCAGGAUGAAAUAAUUUAUAAGGUUGCUAUUAGCUUUAAAAUUUUUAUGAGUUCAGAGCCUUUAAAAACAUGGUGUCUUCAGCAGAAAACACCACUGUGAUUUUUUUUUUCAAUAUUCCUUUUAACUAUAAUGGAAACAAGUUAAAAAUAAUAGGUCUAAUGUUCACAAAUCCAUUAAAUAUUUACUCGUCACUCUCUUGAUGACUAUUUUUAUUUAGUACAUGGUAUAUAUAAAUCAUCAAUAUUUUCAAAUUCAAAAAUGCAUAGGGAGGAAUUUUAUGGCUUCUGUGAUGGCUUUGAACUAAAGUAUAAUUUACCUCCUUGUUUGUGUAAGUGUUUAUGCUUAUCAUUUGUCAGUAAGCCUAAGAAUCUAAGCACAAUAUUAUAUAUGCAUGCUAAGUGCUUAGUUUAUCAUUAUAAUUUUCCUCUUGAAUUGCAAAUUGUGUAAUGCAGAUAAUUUAACUUUUCUAGGGUUCCCUUGUUUAUUUUUAAAAUGUUAGUGUCCAGUUAAGAACCAGAAAAAAAAACAAAACUGUAAGCCAUGUGCUGUGCUAAUACUGAAAAUAAAAUGAGUGUUAUUUCCCUUGAGGGAAAUGUAAUUAAAGAUAAAGGGGACAUAUGCAUAGAAUAAUGAUAUUCACUAUACAUAACUAAUAAGAUAAUACUGUUUUACAUUUCUGUAAUUUUUUUCUUGUUUUACUUAAUUCUCUACUGGUACUUUUGCUUUUGUCAUAAAAAUUAUCAUUUAUUUUUCUUACCUACAUAUUGCCAUCUUCAUUUUUUUAUUUUCUCAAAUAUUCAUAGACUUGUUUUCUGUAAUAGAUGUUGUACAGUAAUUAAUUGUUCAUCAAUUAACCUUUUCAAUGCUACUUCCAACACCUACUUUUCAUCCUCCACAUAACAGAUACUGUCAGUUACUUACUCUUAACAGCCUUUCCACUCCCAACUUCUGUGAAUGGACAAGAGAUGCAAUUGUCAUCACUGACAAGUGAGACAACACCUUCUAGGAAUUUAUUUCCAUAGUCUUCAGACAAAAGGAGGAGAUACCUUUUCAUCCCAUCUUAACAAUCUUAUACGAAGCUUACCUGAAGUUGCUGUAGCCAUUUGGCAAGUCUGGGGAGACUAACAGACACACUGAGGAUAGCCGAAAAUCAGGAUAGAAAUAGCCUAGGCGUUUGGUGAAAUUCAUGAGCUUCUGAAUUAUGCCACCGCAUACCACCCUAUCUCUAUAAAAGAAAUCUUAAUAUGUGACGUAAUAAAUUUUCCUUAUUGUUUAAGGCACUUGUAGUUGGGUCUUCUGCUUCUUGUAGCUGGAACUUACACUCAGCAUUCUUGUAUUUACUACCGCCAUAUAUCGGAACUCUGUAUUCUCGUAGAGCCUGGCUAGUCCAAAGUCUUAGAAAAAAUAACAUACCAACACUGUUUCUUUUGAGACAGAAGCUGGUCAUGGAUGUCAGCACUACCCCAACCAUAUGAUGAUGAUAAUAGCUUACGAGUAUUGAGUCCUCAUAAUAAAUGAAAAAGACAUUGUGAUAUGAAUAUUACAUGUUACUCUAUUUGAUUUUUCACUACAGACCUCUAAAUUGGGGAGUCAUAAUAUCAAUUUUCAUCAAAUGCAGAAGAUCUAUCAGAGCAAUAAUAAAACUGCCAUGGUCCCCACAGAUAAUAAGUGAAUAAAUUCAAGUCUGUUGGGAACAGGCUAGUAAUCAUUAUGUAUCUCUUAAUGCAUGUGGAUAAUUGAGAUAUGGACUAUAUAUGCACAUUUCGCUGUAUGUAGCUUUAAAAUGAACAGAGUAGCACUUCAUGUUCUCUAGGGUUAUCACUUAUAUUGUUGCUCUGUGCACUGAUUACACUAACGGUUUGCAGGUUGUGGACUGGGGGUAUGUAACACUAUACAGUAUAUAUACAUAGCAUAUGAUAAUUUAAGGAAGAAUAUUUAAAUGACAUCAAGUAAUGUUGGCAUUCCUCUAUACUGAUAUAUUUUUAGCACGUUUUCACUGGUAGUUUCAAAAUUAUAUUUACAUUUCUGAACACAAUUAAAUAAAACAUGCUGAAUACCCCUGGACAUUACCGUACAGGCCUUCCAUACUCAAAAAAAUCACGUAGUAAAAUUGGAAAGCAGCUCAUUAAAUUGAAUCAAUGUUUAUCAUUUUUUAAAUUACAGUUUUUUUGAUGGAGAAUCAAGGAGACUCAGUGUAGUAUGAUCUCUAGACCAAAUUCAAGAUCUGUAGUAACUAAAGCUUGGUAAAAAAAUUGGUAAAAUUCAUUUUUUGUAAACAACUUUUUCAGUAAUUAAGGUAUACCUUGCUCUACUUACUAGACAUAUACUUUAAAAUCAAUUUUUAAAUUAACAUUUUUUUAUUUUACAAUGUUUGAUACAUAAAAAUAAUAUAUUGCAACUUACAUGAAAGUAAUGAAGCAUAAAAAUAAAAUAGUCACGAACCCUCCAGCCAGCUAAUAAGGUAGAUAUUACCGAUAUCACUGAGGCUGUAUCUAUGCUUUCCUCCAAAUCCCAUCCCUCUGCCAAACCCAAAACGCAAUCCGUAUCCUAGACAUUGGGUUAAUUGUUCCUUUGCUUUUGAAAAUAGUUUCUAUUACAAAUGUAUUUAUCUCUAGAUUUUACACUUCAUAGUUUGGUAUUAUAGUCUAUAUGGUCUGCAACAUGCUUUUCUCACUCAAGGCUGUUUCUCAGAUUCAACAGGUUGUUGCACAUAACUGUAAUUUGUUAAUUUUCAUGGCUGCAUAAUAUUCCUCUGAGUGACAAUACAACUUCUUUUCAAGUCAUCAGUCAAAUGAUAUUUUGAUUAUUUCUAGGUUUUCAAAAAUUGUUAUUAGAAAUAUGUAAAUAAUGUGUUAUAUUUCCAUUCCUUUCUGGUUAACAUAUCAACAAUUAAAAGAAGUGAAUUGAAGUCUCUCCCUAUGAGAAUUUGUUAUUUUGUUAUUGCUUUUUCAGUCAUUUUUGCUGUAUACAUUUUGAUGAUUUUUUUUUUUGAGAUGGAGUUUUGCUCUUGUUACCCUGGCUGGAGUGCAAUGGCACGAUCUCGGCUCACUGCAACCUCCACCUCCUGGGUUCAAGCAAUUCACCUGCCUCAGCCUCCCGAGUAGCUGGGACUACAGGCGUGUGCCACCAUGCCCAGCUAAUUUUUGUAUUUUUUUAGUAUAGGCGGGGUUUCACUAUGUUGACCAGGAUGGUCUUGAUCUCUUGACCUAGUGAUCCACCCGGCUCGGCCUCCCAAAGUGCUGGAAUUACAGGCAUGAGCUACUGCACCCGGCCCAUUUUGAUGAUAUUUUAUUAGCUGCACACAAAAUAAUUAUUAACUCUUUCUGGUAAAUUGAUUUUAUAUAAUUGGGUAUUUAUCCACUUUAUUACUUUUAUAUUUUUAUUCAUUAAAAUUUAUUUUAUCUCUAAUAGAACUACGGUAGUUUCUAAAAGUUUACUAUUUGCCUGCUGUAUUUUCAUACUUUUUUCAAAUUUUCCAUAUCUUUGGUUAGUUGUCAACAUUUAGAAGAGCCAAUGUAAGGUAUCUUUUUUGUUGAUAGUUAGCCCGUGUCUUGCAUAAGCUUUCCUGGAAAACAGACCUUGAGGCAAAAGUUUAUGUGUUGCAGCUUUCUUGAGGAUAGAAUUUUAAAAAGGCAAAAGAAAAGGAAAAAUUAAGGCUAAGAAGUGUGUUCCCAAAUAUUUUCACAGCCUUGCAUCCCAGUUGAUUGUUAAUUGUUGCAGGAAGUCUCCAGAGAGGCUAUAUUAAACUAUUGUAAAAAAUAAUAAUUACAGAAAGGGAUGGCAAACAUUUAUUUGCUGGCUCCCUCCAUUUUCUCUCCUUUAUUGGUUAAAGUCUAUCACUUUGCAUUAAUGCUGCUAUAUUUUGGGUUGUGUUAGUGCACCCCUCCAGAUAUAUGUUGGAAAAGGCAAAGCCUCCACGUGACUAAUACAGCCAAUGGGUAGGUUCUGUGUCUUUAUGUCAGUAGAUGCAGUUUGUGGAGGCUCCUAAAUCUGUGGUAAUGGAGAUGGCAGUACCAGUGGCAGUAUCAAGGACAUCACAACUGUGGAAGGUGUGAGUCUUCGCUAGAGCCUCUCUUGCUCUACUUGACACCAGAGAGGCAAGUGGCUGAGGUCCAGUGAUGCAGGUGGUUUCAGGCAGAUCUCAGGGAGUCCAUAAACUGGCCCUAGUACAGUCCAUCUCUGCACCACCUGGAUCUGCUUGCACUUAGUCUCAUCUGAGUGCAAGUGCCCUCACUUUUUCUCUGAGAGCUGAGGUGUAAGCCUAAUCUUUUUUAGGAGGUAGCCAGUUGCAGCAAACCAAGAAACUUAAAGUGUUAGCCAAUCACAGUUACAGUCCACACUGCUGCAGCUGGUCUAGGGCUAUAAUUAAAGGAUUUAAGGAAGAAAAAGUGCAGUGAGGCGGGGGGAGAGAGAGAGGGAGAGAGAGAGAGAGAGAGAGAGAGAGAGAGAGAGAGAGAGAAAUUCAGAGAGAAGAGAAAACAGCAUUAUAUUAGGUUUCAAAUAUUCAAAACUUGUAAGGAUUCAGAAAUUAUAUCAUCUCUAGUUUUUUCUUAUUUUCAUCCCCCCUCCCACUAACCAGAUGUCAAACAUUUUCUACUUAUUAUGGAAUUGAUCUUUUUAACGUUUAUCCCUUCAUGAAUACUUUUAGAAUGAAAAUAUAUUUUUUAACCUUGCCUAAAUGCAGUGAGAAUGGAUUUGUUGUGUAAUUUCUAAAACUGAUUCUCUUAUGGGCGGUACAUCAUGCAGCAAAAUGCCAAUUAGGUAAUGAAGUUUCUCACAGUUCUACUCUGAAGGGGGUGUGAAGUGAAGCUACUGUAAAAAAAAUGUAAAAGAAAAGAAAGGAAAAAGAAAAGCAACCAGAAGGCUAAUUGCUCCAGAUUUCAUAUUUAAUACAAGAAUUACUUUGAAAUCUUAACCAAAAAAACGUUUUUUAGAUACAGCUUGAUGAGAUGUAAAUCAACAGUAGAAAAGAGAAAGGAAGGGUAAAUAUAUUUUAAAACAUGGUUAGUGGAAGGGGGUUGAGAAUAGCAUUGUAUGCUAUAAAGAUAUGGGCAUACGUAGAAAUUCUUGAACCUUGGGAAGAAACAAAGAGAAUAGAGAAACAAGGGAAGGAGACAAAAGAAGUGAAAGCAUUGAAGGGUUUUGUGAAGAGUUCAGAUGACACUAUUUUGAGAAACAUUACAAGACUGCCACGAAGUCAAGGCAUGGUGUUAAAGAAGAACUUCAACAAUCAGAACUUUCUCCCUUGGCAGAGUAUCCGAAAAUAUGUUAAUUAUUUUGAUAAUAGAUGGAUGCCCAGAAGAAUACCAGGAGAGCAAUAUUCAGGAUGCCAAGAGAGUAUAUGUAGGAUCAGUUUUCACCAAUGUGGGAAAAACGAUUGGUGAUAAAAAAAAGUGACAGGGCAAUUAGGACAAUUAGAAAAGCAGGGGCCAUUAAACCCAUGGGGUUCUUGUCUGUUUGCUGGUUUUCUGCCUGCUUUGUGGACACCUUAGUGCUUCCUUCCUUCCAAGCAAAGAAGGAGCUCUGAGGGCAAUUCUUGGGCUGGCAUUCUGGAAGAAAGACCUGGUUAUAGAGAUAGAGUGAAAGUUACCGAGAGAUGGUAGAAUAUAGAGCAGAGAAAGAUUAGAAAGUCAAGAUUGCAAAGGCAAGCUUGGAAUCAAGUAAAGCAAUCUCAACACAUUCAUUUGACAGCUAAGAUGCUGAAACUGGAACCAAGGCAACAGACCAGGAACCUGGGCUCUAGCUGGAGAGGUUUCUGAGAGCAUUUCUGCGCACUUUGUCCUGGAGGAAGUUACCUUAAUGCUACAAGUAGCAGUCAGUUAAGACACUAGUCAACUCUUAAAUUUGAUUUGUGUGUGUAUGUGUGUGUCUUUUUUUCUUUCCUUAUAGUGAAAAAGUAAUUUCAAUGAUUUUUCUUAAGCCAUACAUGCUGAUAACUCUCAAAUCUAAAAUAAGAAAAGAGCUUAAGCCAGGCUAAGUGGUGAAUGCCUGCAAUCCCAGCACAGUGGGAGGCUGAGGUGUGUGGAUUGCUUGAGCCCAAGAGUUCAAGACCAUCCUGGGAAAAAUGGCAAAACCCCAUCUCUACAAAAAGUACAAAAAAUUAGCUGGGUGUGGUGGUGUGUGCCUGUGGUCCCAGCUACUUGCAAGGCUGAGGUGAGAAGAUCACCUGAUCCCAGGGAGUUUCAGGCUGCAGUGAGCUGAAUUCAUGCCACUGCUCUAGCCUAGGUGACAAAGCAAUACACUAUUAAAAACAAAAACAAAACAAAAAACCAACCAAACAAAAAAGGCUCAUCUUGUCUAGGUCAUAUUUUCUUUUGUUUUCUUAUUGAGCUGGCUCAACCGCACGAUCUUGGCUCACCGCAACCUCUGCCUUCUAGGUUCAAAUGAUUCUUCUGCCUCAGCCUCCCAAGUAGUUGGGACUAGCAUGUGCCACCACAUUCGGCUAAUUUUUGUAUUUUUAGUAGAAGUGGGGUUUCACAAUGUUGGCGAUGCUGGUCUUGAACUCCUGGCAUCCAGUGAUCAGCCUGCCUCGGCCUCUCAAAGUGCUGAGAUUACAGGCAUGAGCCACCAUGCCUGACCAGAUCAUUUCAUUUGGGCAUCUGCCAAGUAAUUCAGAGGUAAAUGCUACAAAGUUAGGGUCAUUAUCUUAUAGCCCAAAUCUCUCUCCUUCUAUUUAAAAUCUAAAGCUUUUAAUAUCAACAUCUGCCAAAUACUUCAAGGUGGAAUUAUUCUUAAUUAUUCUUUCUUUCGUGUUUUUCAUAUUUAUUUGAUCACCGAUUACACGUCAUGAACUUCUCUCAGAUCUUUUACCACUUUUUAUUCCUGCCACUCUCAGGGUUGUCUCAUGUGCUAGUCACAUCCUGCCUUUAAUAUUAAAAUUUGCUUCCAUACUUCGUCUUUCUACCUCCAGUCCAUUAUUCAUAUCUGUGUAUUCAUUUUAUGACACAAAUAUAAUUGGGUCAAAUCCUGCAUGAAAAGUUUUGAUGAUUUAUCCUUUUAUUUACAUAAGAUAACUGAAGGAAAAGAAUUAUUUAAUAUUUUGAAUAAAAUUCACGUGAAAAAGUAAACACAUGAGAAUACAAACAAAUCAUGAAGAGUGAUGAAGGAAUACCCUGAAAAUUACGUCUAUUUUAAAAUCAACCAAAAAAAAAGAACAACAAGAUACUGAACAAAACUGGAAAUAUAUAGUUAUAGAAUAUAAUAGAAACACUUUUAUAAAAAAAUGAUUAAAAUAUGUAAAGUAUAUGUUCCAAUAGCAGAAAAGAUUUAAUGAUAAGUGUUGUACGGAUAGCUACUUAGCUAUAACAUCAGUUUAAAUUCACAUAGUACACAAAGAAAAUUGUGUAAGAAUUGAAAUUAUUUAAAACUAAUGGACUGCAGUAUGUUAUCAAGACUUUGGUGGGAUACAUUUCUGAAAAAUUCUUUUUUACAAUUUUUUAGUAAUCUUUUGAUGCAUAUAACACAUAAAACAAAAGCAUAGUCAUAAGUAUUCUUCUUGAUGAAGUGUUACAACGUAACUAUGCUUGUGUACCUACCUGCCAGACCAAAAACUAGAACCUUACCAGCAUCCCAGAAUUACUUUUCAUGUUCCCUUCAAGGAUUUAAUAACCCCAAGGGUACUUCCCAACUCUAAAAUCAUAGAUAAGUUUUGCCUGGUUUUGAUUUUUAUAUAAGAUAGUCAUGCAGUAUUUAUUAGUCGGGUUUCUUUUACUCAACAUUAUGUAUUUGGUUAUUAUCUAUGUUGGUGCAGGUAGCAGUAGUUUAUUUUCACGAAUUUAUAAUAUUAAAUUAUACGAAUAUACCACAAUUGAUUUACUCAUUCUAUUAGUGAUGAAUAUUUGGGUUGUUCCCACCUUUUUGCUAAAAUGAAUAGUGCUGCUGUGAUCAUUAGAAUGUUUGUUUUUUUGGGAUGCUGAAUAUAUUACUCAUUUCUCUUGAACAUACCAAGAAGUGGAAUUGCUGGUAAUGCUCAUAUGCAGCUUUAGAAGGUACUGUUUAACCAUUGUUUAUGGUUCUGGUACCAGUUCAUAUUCUCACUAGCACUGCAUGAGGUUUUGGUUGCACCACAUCCUCACCGACACUAGAAUUAUCCGUCUUUUUCAUUUUAUCUGAGUGGGUUAGUAGACAUCACAAUCUGGUUUUUAAUUUUCAUUAACUUGAUGAUCAUUGAAAUUGAGCAUCUUAUAUCACAUCCAUUGGUCAUUUGUAUAUAAUCUUUUGUGAAUUGUCUAUUCAAGUCCUUUGCCAAUCUUUCUACUGGAUUAUACACUUUAAAAAAUUGUUUUGAAGGUGUUCUUAGUUUAUUCUAGAUACGACUUUUGCUAUAUAUAUGUGUGUGUAUGUGUGUGUGUGUGUCUAUGUGUUUUUUACCAUGUGUCUUGGUUUUGAUUCUAUGUUCUUGAUUAUUGAACAUCCUUAAGUCGACUGUAAUAAAACUUACACACUUAACUCUAUUAUCAAUUUUAUUAUAUUUUCCUUUAUGUAAAAUUAACAUGUUGUGUCCUGAUUAAUAAAUCAUUGCCUCUUCCAACAAAAAACCCAUAGUAAAUUUUCUUAAUCUCUUUGUUUUAAUUUUAAAAUGUUGACCUACAAUUCUUCUGAAAUUUACUUUUCUGUAUGGCUGAGGUAGUUGUCAAAAAUGGUAAUUUUUCUGUAUGAAUAUUUAAUGGAAUCAGUAACAUGUAUUCCCCCUGACCCUACAGUGUCAUCUUUGUCAUAUGGCCACAUAAAUGUGGGUCUCUUUUUGGACUCUCAUUUGUUUCUUUCAUCUAUUUGUCUUUUUCACACUGUCAUUUUUACUGCAGUUUGAAAAUAAGACAUGAUAACCGGUAAUGAAAGUCCUUCUGUUUUUUUUUUCUCCUACAAGACUGCUUAGGCUAUUCUUGGAUUGUUGCAUUUCUAGACAAAUUUUAGAAUCAGAUGAUCAAUUUCCAUCAGAAUAAAAACUCAUCUGAGAUUUUGAUUGGGAAUGUGUUGGAUCUUUAGAUCAUUUUUUGGAGAAUGACCAUCUUAUAAACUGUUAUUUCUUACAACUCUUGAGCAUGUUAUAUUCUUUCAUUUAUUUACGCCUUCAAUAAUUUCUGUCAACAAAGUUUUGUAGUUUCCAGGAUACAGGGUUUGUACAUAUUUUAUUAAAUUAUUUCUGAAUAGCUUCUGUUUUCUGCUAUUGUUAUAUUUGAAAUUUUUUAUUAUAUAUUAUCUUUCUAGCAUACAGAUAUGCAAUUUAUUUUGAUGUAUUGGUCCUGUAUUUUGUGACCCUGUUAGAGUCACUUAGGAAUCUCAAUAAUUUGUCUAGAUAUUCUUUUGGAUUUGCUACAUACGUAAUCAUAUAUUUUAUAAAUGGCAGUUUCAUUUAUGUCUAUAACAUCCUUCUCCCUUCCAUUUCUUUUAUCAUGCAUUUUUGCACUGAGACCUCCAGACACUUGUCCUAUUUUCAGUUUCUGAAAAUGCUUUCAACAAUUUACAGUUUACUAUGGUAUUUGUGGAAACUUUAUCUGAAGUGCUUAUGUAGAACAGAAGACUCAUCUGUUCUUACCUUACUAAAAGAAUUUUUUAAAUAAAUGAUAUUUAACUUUGUAAUCUAUUGAUAUAAUUUUAUGCAUCAUUAUUCUUUUCUGUUCAUGUCAAUUAUAUUCAUCUGUUUUUCAUUGGUAAAACACCAUUACAGUUCAUAUAAUAAAACUGAUCACUUUAAUAAAUUGUUCUAUUUGGUUUGCUAAUAUUUUUUUCAGAAACUUUUUUCAUCUAUAGUCCUGAAACAGGUUGAUUUGAUGUGUGAUAUUAAUUUUUUUGUAAUAUUUUUCCAGAUUUUGAUAUCAGAGUUAUAUUAGUCUCAUAAAAAGAAUGGAAAGUGUUUCCCCUAAUUUUUAACCCUCUGGACAGGUUUAUGCUGGUAUGGUAUUAUUUCUUUUUAAAGAUUUGGAAGAAUUCACUGGUGAAGUCAACUUGAAAGACUGUUUUUUUUGUGUAACAUAUAGGACCUGUAGUAAUGUCCUCUACUUUGUUCCUGAUAUUGGCAAGUGAGUUUUCACCUAUUGUACUUGAUCGGCUCUGUAAGUGGUUAGAAAUUUUAUUCUUCAAAAACAGAAAGCAAUUUUGUAUUUGUUCAAUUUCUCUGUGGUGUGUUUGCUUUCUACCAUAUUUCAUUGAUUUCUGCUCUUAUCUUUAUUACUUCAGUCUACAUUUUUGGGUUUAAUGUGUUGUUUAUUUCUUUUGCUUCUUAAGAUAGAAACUUAGAUGUUAUCAGCUCUUUUUCUUUUUUAAUGUAAGAAUUUAAGGCUGUAAACAAGUCUCUAAGAAACAAUAUUAUUUCAAAAGUUUUGAUAUACUAUAUCAUACUCUAUUUAGCACAUAGGUUUUGUGUAUCCAUUGUGACUUAUUUCACUCAUGUAUUAUUGAAAAGUAUGUUGCUUAAUUUCCAAAAGUUGGCGAUUUUAUACUUAUUUAUGUUAUUAUUUUACAAUUUAAUUUAGUAGUGGCCAGGAGUAUAUUCUCAUGUAUUAUUCAUUUGCUAAUCAUAAUUUUUAGUACAAUUGAGUAUGCAAUUAAAGAAAAUACACAUUUUAUGAUAACUGUAUGCACUGGUCAAUUUAUGCCAAUAAGUGAUUUGUUGUAUUUUUUAGAUAUUCUUUAUUCUUACAAGUUUGUUUGUUUUAUAGGCUAUGAAUAUUGGUGAGUUAAACUCUUUCCUGUAAUUUCGGAAUUCUUUUUUCUCUUUUUACUUCUGCUAACUUUUAUCUAUCUAACCGUCCAUCCAUGUAUCCAUCCAUCCAUCCACCAUCCAUCUACAGUAACAUGUUAAGUUACUGGGUAUAUACAAAUUUAUAAUUUUAUAUACUUCUGUUAGUUUGACCUUUGGUCAGCAUUUCUCUAGAAAUUGAUCUAGUCUUAAAAAUCCAGUUUUUCUCACAUUAAUGUAAUAGCCACCUUUCUUUUGAGUAGUGUUUUUAUAGUAUAUAUUUUUCACAUCCUUUUACAAUUAGGCUUUUUGUUUUCUUAUAUUUAAGAUAUGUUUCUAAUAAACAGCAUUAUUAGAAAUAAAAUAAAAAGUUUUAUUUCUAAACUUUUUACUCAAUAUUUAAUCCCUUUUAAUUUAAUAUAAUUACUAUGGGGGUUUGAUAGUUAUUACCAUAUUUGUUAUUUUAUAACUUAUCUGUUUUGUAUUUUUAUGUCUUUUCUUAUCGUCUUUAGAAUUAAUCAUUUAUUUUUCACUAUUCAAUUUUCCCUCUACUACUUUGUUAGUUAUACAUUUCUUUGUGUUUGUUUUAUUGUGGAUAAUAUAAUUAUUAAAACAUGCAUCUUUGAAAUAUAAGUUAUUACUUUCUCACUGCCCAGAUGAUAUAAGGAUCUUGGAAUGGUUUGACUCAAUUUAUCCCGCUUCUGCUUUUUGAGUUUUUAUAAUACAUUUUAAUUCUGUAUGCAUAAAGCCCCCAAGCCACAAGUAUGAUUGUUAUCUAACAUCAUUAUUCAUUCAUAUUUGUGUACUUAUCCUUCUUUUUGUCAUUUUCUUCUUCAUUUUUAUUCCUUUGAAAUAAUUUUCCUUCUAUCAGAAUUUUUUUUAGUUUAACUCUCUCAGCAUUUGUUUAUGUGAAAUUUUGAUUUCAUUUUAAUAUUCAAAGGAUAUUUUCUCUUUGCAUAGGAUUCUCUUUGAUGAGUUGGAUAUUGCUUCAUUGUCUUGUUUUAUUGUUUCUUUUUUGUAUGUAUUGAUGCUCUUUUAAGGCAAUGUUUCUAUUAUUGUGACUAUUUGUGUGAUUGCUUCACUUUUGUAUCUAUCCUUCUUAACUUCUGAACUCAAUGGUUGAUGUGUUCUGUCAUUAGCUGAACAUUUGUGGCCAUUGUGUAUGCAAAUACUGCUCCUGCCCCUUUCUGUCUGUGCUUUGCUUAUGAGAUCCAAUUACAUGCUUAUUGGAUCUUUAUACCACCUAACAGUUUUCUUCCGCUUUUCUGUAUUUUCGUUUUUUCUGUACCUCAGUUUGCCUGAUUUCAUUAACUCAUUUUCUACUUUAUUAUCCUCUGUUGUACUGUCAAGUCUUUUUUAAGAUACAUCUUUAAGUUUUUCAUUAUAAUUAUUAUAUUUCUCAGUUCUAAAAUUUUUAUUUAUUUAUGUUUACAUAUUCUAAUUUGCUGGUGGAAUUCUCAAUUUUUUCAUCUAUUUUCUCUAAUUUUUCCUGUAUUUAUUUUAAUAUGUUAAUUAUAUUUACUUAGAAGUUCUUGCCUGUUAGUUUCUAAUGUAUUAUCAUCUGUUCUUUCUUUUUUCGUCUUUUAUCUUAUUUUAAAAAUUCAUGUAGUCUUUUUUUUCCCUUUCUGGUAAUAUAUAAUCAAAUGUUUGUCAUUAAUAAAUUUUUGUCACUGUAGCUUCUCCAUAUGAUAUUAUCUUCCUCCAGAGAGGGUUCAAGUUUACUAUUUAUUUAUUUAUUUAUUUAUGGCCAGGAAGUUAGAGUAAGUAAAGUUAGGGUUGAUUUAAUCAGAGACUGAGCUAAAUCAAGAUCAGUUACAGCUUUGGUAUGAUUUUUUUCUAUGUCUGGCUUGUUCUCAUUCAGUGUACCCAUCCACAACGUUUUUUUUCUUUUUCUUUUUCUUUUUUUUUUUUUUUUUGAGAUGGAGUUUCGCUGUUGUUACCCAGACUGGAGUGCAACGGCACGAUCUCGGCUCACCGCAACCUCCGCCUCCUGGGUUCAAGCAAUUCUCCUGCCUCAGCCUCCCGAGUAGCUGGGACUACAGGCGUGCACCACCAUGCCCAGCUAAUUUUUGUAGUUUUUUAGUAGAGGCGGGGUUUCACUAUGUUGACCAGGAUGGUCUCGAUCGCUUGACCUAGUGAUCCACCCACCUCGGCCUCCCAAAGUGCUGGGAUUGUAGGCGUGAGCCACAGUGCCCGGCCUCCAUCUACAACUUUUGUACUAGAACGUAGUUUAUUUACUUAGGUCAUUCUCUCUGGUAUGCUGAGAAAUGUUUUUUAGUUGUUGUUUACUCAACUUGGCAAGAGUGCAAACAUCUCCCAUCUGUUUUUCUGAAGCUGUUCAGCUUCUUGGCUCUCACCCGUGUAGCUUUAGAAAAUGGCAAAUAUCCGGUGAGGAAAAUUUGUCAAGUGUCAGGGUCACUCUACCCCUCUCUUCUUGCUAGGAUCUUAGCCCCAGAGAUCUCAAAUUUCAUCUUUAAGCCUGGGAAUCUACCAAAACUUUGCUCUUUUCUUUGUCCCUGUAGUUUGUUCUACAGCAGGAGGAAAGCCUGGAUUAUCAGAUGAUUAUCCUGAAACCAGAAUUGGCGAAUAUCCUGAGGAAAAAACUAUUAUCAGUCCAAGAGCUUAUUGCUUUUAACUUUGUCUCCAUCCAAAAUCUUCAGUUUCCCUAGUCCUAUUUAUGCUUGCAGUUCCCCAGUGCCUCUAGGCUGCUAUAACAAAGUAUCAUAGACUAAGUAGUUUAUAAACAAAAAAAAAAUUAUUUUUUAUAGUCCUGGAGUCUGGGAAGUCCAUGACCAAAGAAAAAGGUGUCUGGCUUAUAGAUAGUGUCUUUUCACUGUGUCUUCACAUGGUGAAAGGAAAGAAGGAGCUCCCAUGGGUCUAUUUGAUAAAGGUACUAAUCUCAUUCACAAGGGCUCUGCCCUCCUGACCCAAGCACCUCACAAAAGGCCUCACCAUCACCUUUGGGUGAGGACCUCAACAUACAAAUUUUGAGGAGGACACAAACACUCAGAUCAUAGUACACUUGUACGUUUUUAAUCAGUAAACUUUACUUUUAGAGUAAUUUUAGUUUUAUAAGAAAAAUUGAGCAGAAAAUGCAGAAUUCAUAUGCACUUUAAAAAAAUCACCAUUUAUUGUUCUCAACAGGAAUGUUGGUCUAUUUCAAGGCAUUCCACCGUGCUAAUAUACCUGGAAUUAUAUCUGAAGCAGUAUCUCUCAAGGUGAUCAAUACAUUCAAAAGGAAUCACCACUUAAAAAUCUAACACAAGUUCUCCAAGUUGUAAAUAAUAUACACAUCUAUUUAAAUAAAAAUCCAGGAAAAUAAAUAUUUUCAGCAAAAAUAAAAAGUAUGAAUAUCUACAUUAUACAAAGAGGUCAUACAAGUUAAUAAUUAAAAUAUUAAUAUCUCAAUAGCUGGUUGGAUAGUUUGUAAAAGGUUUUAAAGAGGAGGUGAAUUGAACAACUAAACAUUUAAGAACUUGCUAGACCAAUGAGCUUAUCGAAAAUGAGAAUGAAAAUAAAUAUUUUUUUUCCCAUCAAAUCAGCUCUGAUGGCUGUUAGAUAUGACUUCUGAGGCACUGGACUCUGAUCUGUACUGCUAGCAAUUGGCUAAAUUUUGCUUUAAACUGAAAAACAGUGCCUUGAAAUCCUGGUGGUAUCAUCUACCUUACCACAGGAAAUACUACCAUCUUGAAAUUGCUGCUGACUCUGUUCCAAUAUACUAGCUUACACUUUGAUACUCUCAGAACAUAUCAAGCCCGAGUUUGCCAUAUCCUCUUCAACCAUGAUUUGAUUUGCUCUCCACCAUUCUUGGGGUUCUCUCUGUGAUCAAAUGAAUUCCUUUAUACUUUCCCUUCCCAUUCCUGACUUUCUUCUCUUUCUAUAAUAAAAUCCUAUUAUUACUACUAAUAAAGUAAAUAUGGGUUAUAAUAAUAUCCACCAUAAAUGUGUCAGUGGUAAAACUGGCAAUUUCAAAUUGCUAGUGCCAAAGCAAACUUGUUAGGAAAGCAGAAAUGUAUAAUGGAAGCAACUAAGUAUUCAAAAAUAAGAGAGUGAUUAGGAAAAGUGUUUAUCAGUUUUAUAUAUUUUUAUACACACAACCCCUAGGACACAUUCACUUUUAAAUGACUUAUAAAAAUAUUUAGAAUAUCAUGGAUAAAAUAAAGACACAAAAAGUCAAAAAAAGGAAGGGAGAAAAUGAAAUCAGAGAUAUUAGCACAAAAAAGAUAUAUGGGAUAUUGCAUCAUAGGGUUUUAGAGAUAAACUGGCCUCUGUUUUUUUUUAUCUUCCCACCAGCCAAGAGGAGAGAAAAGCACCAUCAACUGUAAUGCCCACAAACGUCUAAAGAUAAAACAAACCAGUUGAUUAGAAACAAUAUGGUUUGUCCUGAAACGAGAGAAAUUUCUGCAUAGAUAAGCUCCCUUUCACCUAGAUCCAUUUUUUCAAAAAUAUUUUGUAAGAAUGAAACUCCUUUUUCAAAAAAUGUCUCAUGCAAAUCCUCAACAUUUAAACCAGUAAAGUAGAUAAAAUCGACAUGCUCAGGUAUAAAAACUUGGUAGGAUUUUCUCGACAAAGAGAAGUCUUAAAACUAAGGAGAAAGUGCAGAGGAAAGAACAUCAACUUUUAGAUUAAGCAGACUAGUACAGACACCAAUUCAAUCAUUUACUGUCUGCAACUGAACCUUUUUAAAUCACAGUUUUCUAAGCUUUGACAUGUAGUAUUCCUUCAUUACAGGGUUACAAAGAUGAAGUAAAAGACAAAAAUUAUAUAAGGAACCGUACAUAGAAUGUGCCAGAAAAAUACUGAUUUCCUUUCUUUUUCUCUGCUUUGGUGAUUCAUAAUUCAAGAUUUUCUUAAGCUGAUUUUAAUAGAUUAUUAAUUAUUAUAAUAGAUUUCUAUAUUAGUUACUUUAUAGGGAAGAGUUUUGUAAGCCAGAGUUUAUUCACUAAUUAAUUGAUAAUUAAGGUCCUAGUACUUAUGUCAGAUACUCUGCCAGGCACUGUAUUAGGUGCUGAUAUGAUUAUUAAUCUUAUGAUGAUUAAUUUUUCUUUAUAGCUGUAGUUACAUUCUUUUUCAUAUAUAAUGUUAAAGAUAUGCAACUUCUUUUUUAUUGAUUUGCACUUUCUGCAGUUUAUCUCCUUUAAUGGUCUUUUGAAGAGCUAAUGUUCAAAUUUAAUCAUUCUACUUGUUUUUCAUUUAUAAAUUAAUAAUCUACAUUUGUAUCUUUAUUAAUUCUUCAUUGCUUUUCUCAUACUCAGAGUAAUUAUUUCUAGCUUCUUGACUAGAAUGAUAAAUCCAUUUAUUUUCAUUCUUUCAUAUUUAAUACAAAUUCAUUAAAGCAUUAAAUUUUCUUUGGAGUUAGGUUUGGCAGUAUCUCACCAGUUUUAAACCUUCUGUAAUUAUGAUUUUGAUUUCAUCUUUUAUCUGAGUUAAGAGAACCUUUCUGUUCAUCAGAAGCUAAUAGUUGCUCCAGCAUCUCAAUAUCAGUUAAUCUCUUUUUACAUAACAACAUAUUUUUUAGCUGAGCACACGACCACCAGCCUAAAGAGUGCUACUUCCCAACUUCUCUUGUAGCUGGGUUUACCACGUAACUAAAUUCCAUGAGGAGAUACAAGUGAAAGUGAUGGAAUGAUGAAAUGGGGCAAACUCUUAUUCUGAAAGGAAAAGUAUGUCUUCCUCAUCUUAAUGCCUGAAAUGCAGACAUGAAGGAGACAGGAACUGGAGCAGCUACUUUGGACCCCAGGGUGGAGAUGGCCAGUCGAGGUGUGUGGAAUAAGCAAAUAUUAAUAGAAGAAGCCCAGGUGCCUGACACCAAGGAGCUCCCCUAUGUUUAUAAAAUAAUUGUUUGUGAGAAAAAAUUUCUAUUUCAUUUACAACUUGCUGAAACCCUACAUCUGCAACUGCCAUUAUAACUAAUACAGUUAAUAAUUUUUAGUUUCAUUGCAUUGUUAUCGAAGAAUAUAUAAUGUACAAAGUCUGCCUGGAAUAUAUUGAGAUAUCUUACGUUACCUCGUAGGUGAUUAAGUUUUGUAAAUAUUUUCUGUAUUGUUGGUUAGUUUUUAAAGUUAUUUAACUGUGUGUGUGUAUAUGUGUAAGUUUCAUAUGUAUUUAUAUGUGGUUCAAUCUAUCUAAUCAAUCACCUUACUACUUUCCAUGCUAUGCUCUAUAAAGCACUUCUAUGGAAAUUGAUAGGUUCACCUCAAAUAAAAAGUUUAAUGGUCCCUGUGUGCUCUGCUUCCUGUUCUUAUUGUAGUGGUAGAUAGACUCUGGACCAGAUUGUCGAAUCCUAGCUUCCUCAAUGUACAGACUGUGUGGACCAGGCAAGUUAUUUCAUCUCACUUUUCCUCAGAUUUUAUAUAUAAUACAGAAAAUAAUAGUACCUACCUCAUAGGAUUGCUAGGAGGAUUUAAGUGUGGAACAUUUAGAACAAUGUCUGGCAGAGAGUAAGCAUAUUUUUAAACAGCUACAUAUUGAGACACUGCCUGUAAGAGGCUCUGAAAAUUAAUGAAGUAAUGGAAUAUACUUAAUAUUACUUACCCUAGCAUUUCCAAAACUUAUUUGAAUGGUCAUAACCAGUUGGGGGAAAAUGAUGUGUUCAUAGGAGUAUUGGGUUUUGGAAAUGUUAAAACUGGAUUAUUCAGCUCCACUGCAUAUUGGGAAGUUUUCACCUAACAUGGGAUACAUGAAUACCAUUUAGAAGUUCUUUAAACCCCUGGAAAAUGAUGAGUUCUAUGGGUAUAUGCUUGUUUCUCUGUACAUACUAUUUGAAGACAAGACCCAUGGAGUAUAUCUGACUCUCAUAUUUCUACAUAUGUGUUUUUAUGAUUAACUGAAAUAUCAGAGACAAAAAAAUAGUGUAAGUCUUCUACUGUUUUAUUAUUCUUUUCUUCUGUUUCUGGUUAAUCUCCAAGUUAAGCCUGGACAUUAUUGAGUUUUUGGAUUUGUAUCCUUUUAAUAUAAUUUACAUUUCAUCACAAUCUUUUCAUAUUUUAAGUUACUCUCUUACCAUUUCAUAUGAACAUUGUCUCUUUAAAUCGCUUUCUCCUGUUUUUAUAAAAAAAUAAUGCUUCCUUGUCUACUUUUGGGAAUGCUAAUUGUUUUCUAAUAGUAUUUUUUUCUGGUUCCUGCAGCAAAUCAUUUCAGAAACAAAAUCCUUCUGCUAGGUCAUCCAGAUGUUGUUUCCUUUCUAUUAUUUUGUAUUGUUAUUUCAUAUAUUCAAGUUUGGCCUUUAUUUUAUUUAUUUUCCUCAUUCUUAAAGAAGACAGUAACUACUUGCACUUAAAGUAUGUCAGUUAAGAUGGCAAGCAAACCCUCUUGUCCCAGCACAUUUUCCAACAGUGAUUUUGAAAAUCUUUUCAGAUGUAAAAUUGGUAGGGAGGAUAAUACAUGUAUAUUUCUCAUACAUUUCAGCUUCUAUCCGGUUUUGUCUAUUCCCUUCCUCCUUUGAGAGGACAUCUUUUUAUGCUCUUGAUUGCUACUCUGAUACUCCAUCAUAAUGCAAAUAUUUUUGUAUAACACAUAAUUGACUAGGAUGCAUACUGACCAGAGUUUUUCUGGAUUCUAUAAGUUUCUGCUAGGACUUACUCAUAGAUUUUAUAAAUCUAAAAACCACUGUGCCAUCUGGAGGAUCCUACUUCCAAUUAUUCUCAGUUGUUUUUUUAGAACUGAAGUCUCUACCUGAAUAUGGAAAGGUAUAGGUGUGAGGUAAAUGAAACAAUAUUUAGUCUAAUUCAACUAAUGGUAGCUAAGAAAUAGAAAAUGGCAAGUGGCUUUCUUCUGGGUGAAAUAGUCUGUAGGGGCAGAUUUUAGGAUGUUUCAAUGUAUAAGCAUUUAACAAGACAGCCCUUUUAUUUCUCACAUCAAUAGCCCCAGCUCACCGUAGGAUAAAACAGCUAACUUCUUCUCCAAAAAAAAAAAGAAAAAAAAAUCUGUUUCUCUUUCCGUAUUAAAAACUUUGGCUGAUACACUCAACUUUCUUCAAGUCUUCUACACUUGAGAACUUGUCAUGCAGCCCACAAAGCCAUGUGGUAUAGUGUGAAGAGCAAAAGACUUAGAAGCAGAUUAUCUAGUUUGAAAAACCCAGUUCUGAGUAUUCAAUUUGCCUGAAUCUUCAUUUCUAGAAUGUUGUAAUCUAUAUAAUAAUCAUGUCUUUCCUACCAAUGCCAAAUAAUUUUCAUAGUGAAUAAAUGGAAAUCUAGACUAUUUUGAAAUUACAAAGUUUAGAAAACAAAUACAUCAGAAAUUUCAGGAUGCAGCUAAAGCAGCUGUUAAAAGGAAAUUAAAGCAUCAAAUGUUUUAUGAAAAAAGAAAGGUCUCAAAUUAAUGUUAUAAAUCUCCACCUUAACAAUAUAUAAAAAGAGGUACAGUUUCAAUUCAAAGAAAGCAAAAUAAAGGAUACAAUACAGAUAAAAUCAGAAAGCACUGAAAUAGAAAAAUAGAAAACAAACAGAAAAAAAUCAGUAAAACUGAAAGCUAAUUUUGGAUGAGAUCCAUAAAACUAAUAAACUUCUUGCCAAACUGUUCAAGAAAAAAAAAGAACAAACACACAAAUCACCAAUGUCAGAAAUAAAGAGAGUAUAUAAUUGCAAAUGCCAUCAAAAUAAAGAAAUAAGAAAAAAUAUUAUGAGCAACUGUUGCCAAUAAUUUUGAUAAAUUCAAUGAAAUGGACAAAUUCCUCAAAAGAAACCUCCAAAGCUCAUUCAAGAAGAAAUAGCUCUAUAUCUAUUAAAGAAUUGAAUUCUAUUAGUGAAUUCUACUGAAUAUACAAGGAAGAAGUAGUGACAAUUCCACACAAACUCUUGCAGGAAACAGAUGAGAUAGAAAGACAUUUAAACUCAGUAUAAGACUGGCAUUACCCUCUACUCAUACCAGACAUGACAUUAAAAGAAAUAAAAUUUCAGACAAUAUUAUUCAUGAACAUAUAUGUAAAAAUCUGAAACAAAUACUAGUUACUAAGAUCUUUACCAAUUACAUCUGUCCUAACCUCUAUUUGUGCAGCAUUUUUAUUUUAAUCUCUGCAACAUCAUCUACUUCUUACUUUCCAUUCAUUCUGUUCUUGUCCUAUUUCACAGUCUUAAUGACAAUCAUUUGAAUUAUUAAAACUUUCCAACUUGUCUCCCACACCUUCACUCUGUUCUUUUCCCUGCCCUCUAUCAGAGUUUCCACCCUAAAACUCAACAUCUCCUUUGAUAGUUUGCAGGAUUAUUUAAUAUAAUUAGUAUCCCUUAGUCCAAUAUUUGAAACUCUAACACUUUACUGUUGUAUGCUCAGUCAGGGAAACUCCAUCAUCUUACUCUAUCUUUCUAAUAUUAGUGCCUUUACUUCAUUAUAUCACUUACAUCAAAUCUUAGCCUAUUAAAAUCCGACUUCUUCCUCAAUUUUAAUUUUUCCACCUUAAGGUUCCAGUGCUAUUUGGUUUGAACAAUAAUCAUAUUUUACCUUAUAUAAUAGCUGAAUAUAGCAUUUUUGUGGUUGUUACACAUAUUUGGAACAUAGCAGAUGUUACCAGAGUUUACUGUCUUUCUAUGGGUGAUGCUUGGCUUUAUAGGUUCCAGUGCUAUUUGGUUUGAACAGUUAUCAUAUUUCACCUUAUAUAAUAGCUGAAUAUAGCAUUUUUGUUCUUGUUUACAUAUAUGUGGAACAUAGCAGAUGAUACCAGAGUUUACUGUCUUUCUAUGGGUGAUGCCUGGCUUAUAGGUUCCAGUGCUAUUUGGUUUGAAGAGUUAUCAUAUUUCACCUUAUAUAAUAGCUGAAUAUAGCAUUUUUGUUCUUGUUUACAUAUAUGUGGAACAUAGCAGAUGAUACCAGAGUUUACUGUCUUUCUAUGGGUGAUGUCUGGCUUUGUAAUAAGACUAUACAACUUAAUAUUGUUGUGUAGUAUACUUAAUGAUUCUCUGACUUCUUGUCAUUUAACAUAGUAUUGUGGACACAUAAAUGUUAGAUUAUUAAUAAAUACUUGUUGAUACUGGGAUCAGACAGAUUUAGUGGUAGAUUAGAAUAAAGCUUGAUAUAUCUGCCUCUUCCAGAUGCAAGCAUCAUUUGGGAAUAUUUGAGCUUGUUUCUGUCUCUAUUUAGCAGCACUUUUUAAACUGAAACCACACAUGUCAGAAUGUAGGGAUUUUCUGUAUGCCUGGUUCUGUAAUUUUCUUGUCCAGUGAAUAAUAAAAGUAUUUUCAUACUUUUGGUUCA